rnacentral:lncRNA from 1 species
AUGAAGAAGGUCAUGGCUUGUGAGAACAACAAGAUACUGAUAUUUGGAGCCACAGGGUACCUAGGCAAGUACAUGGUGAAAGCAAGCAUUUCUUUGGGCCAUCCAACCUAUGCUUACGCCCGAUCAAUCAAACCCAUCACUGACCCUUCCAACCUUGGGCUGCACAAAGAAUAUGAAGCCAUGGGAGUCACCGUCUUCCAAGUAAUUACAUACAUACAUACAUAUAUAUAUAUAUAUAUAUAUUACUUAUGCUAAUUAACCUCUCACUUCUUAAUUGGCUAAACUCUACUAAUUCAUUGCUCAUAUUUCGUAUAUAGCUAAUCAAUUUAAUGUUUAGGAGAGCCAAUUUGAUAUGUUGUGAACUGGACAGGGUGAACUCGAUGCGAAAAGCUAGUCGCAGUGUUUCGACAAGUUGACAUUGUAAUAUCUACAUUGACUAUUCCUCAGCUUCUUCAACAGUUCAAAAUUAUCAACGCCAUCAAAGAUGCUGGCAAUAUAAAGGCGAAAAUAUAUGUGAAAAAUGUUCUUUUGCGUUGACUGUGAAUCUGAACCACGAUUAUGUACAUAUUCUUGGCUACAUUACUCAGUCAAAGUUCAUUAUAUAUAUAUAUAUAUAUAUAUGUUCGUGUCUAACUGUGUACAACAUAUACAUGUUGGGACUAUGAAAUCAGAGAUUUAUUCCCGUAGGGUUUGGAGAUGAUCCAAAAAGAGCAAGCGUGCUGCCGCCUUUCGAGGCUAUACAUGAGAAUAGAAGGGUGAUUAGAAGGGCGACUGAAGCAGCAGGAAUCCCGUACACUUAUGUGUGUGGAAACACAUUUGCUGUAUAUUUUGUUGAUUGUUUGCUUCAUCCUCGGGAAGAGCGUGAGGAAGUCAUUGUUUAUGGCACUGGUACAGUCAAGGGUAAGUAUGCAAGUGGUGCACUUUACUUCUGAACCACAAAUGCACUAUUUUCCUAGUAGAAUGUUACAAGUUUUUCUUUUAUUUUUAAUAUUUAUAUAAAAAUAAUUUACACCGGUUACGUCGCUUGAGAAAUGAAAUGAAAAGUAUUUUGCCCCUGUGAAGUCAUCUUCAACUACAACAAAUAUUGGUUAUCGCUAAGGACUUGCUUGAUAAAUUUUUUGUUUUUAGUAUCUUCAGUUCACACUUUUUUUUUUUUUGGCUAGAAAUAGCAAGAAAGUGUAUGAAAAUAAUAAGGUACGAAGAAAUAUGGCAUAGAGGGAGGAGGUAGCAGUAGAAGGCAUGAAACGGAGACAUCAUUGAUAAUCACAAAUAUAACUGUUAAAAACAAUACGUUUUGUGGUCGCACAUGCUCAAUGUCUAGGUUGAGACUCAUAGACACAUCUUAGUCGAACGAUAUUAUUUUUCUUCUCUUCGUGGUUGUAAUUUAUAUUCUUGUUUCAACAAAAAAAAAGGUUAUAUUGUUGAAUUCAUUUAUCUUACAUAGGAAAUGUAUGCUUGACAAACCUGUUUGUACCAUACUUGACCCGAAACUACUGAGCACCGGUCAACGUUAUACCGUCAAGGACCCAGAAGAGCUUCCCUUCAAUCAGGAGGCCAAUCACAAUGCGACACGUGUCGACAUCAGAAGCCAAUCACAGCUCGACACGUGUCAACAUCAGAAGCCAAUCACAACACGACACGUGUCAAUAUUAGAACAAAACUAGAAACUCUCUUCUAUAAAUAGGGAUCAUUCUCCCACAAUAAUCUCUAAUGUCAUUUUGUACUAAACUAUUCACUAGAACUCACAAUAUGAGAGCUUGAAUCUAUGUAUUUGUGUAAACCCUUCAUAAUUAAUGAGAACUCCUCUACUCCGUGGACGUAACCGAUCUGGGUGAACCACGUACAUCUUGUGUUUGCUUCCCUGUCCCUAUUCAUUUACGUACUUAUCUUCACUAGUGAUCGAAGCAACCAAGCGAAGGUCACAAACCUGACACUUUCUGUUGUACCAAAGUCCUCGCUGAUUUUGUGCAUCAACAUUUGGCGCCGUCUGUGGGAAAGACACUUACUCCCACUCUCUUCAGCUUUGUUAAGCUGGUUUCCACCGCUCGUACACUUUCUUUUAGCCAAACAUCUCUCUCCAACAUGGGGAGCGAAAGAAGUCAUAGCACACAGAAUGACACCCCAAUUGGACCUAGUAUGAAGCAACGAAAGCAGGAAGGAAAUAGAGUUACUCUUCAAGCUAAAGUCGAUGAGUUAGAAGCUCAGAACAACAAGAUAGUGAUGAGGAACGAGGUCCUCCAGGAGCAGUAUGAAAAACUUUUUGAGAUGCUUCACGAGGCUAGGCAUGCUCAAGCACACAAGCUCGUCGCCCCUGCUGAGGUCAACAAUCAUCUGAAUGCCCCCCAACACGGAGGGUCACCGAUAUCCAACACGGACAUCCUUGAUAGGGAUCGAGCUACACAUCAAUGUGAUAAUCAACAUGAAACUUCUCUCAACCCACAUCAAAAGCCGUCUAUCGCGAUUGUCGAGACUUCCUAAAGCAACGUCGAGAGAAUCCCAUCCACAUAAGCUCGAAGAUCAAUGACCCAAGAGUUUCUGAAAGACUCCGUCCUCUCCCACGACCCAGGCCAGCAGUUAAUUUAGGGAAUGGGCAACAAGUCCCAGAAGAACAUGAAGGUACAGGGGACUCGGAAAUGUUCCGACAUACUCACUCUAGGAGUCAGUGUGACGAGUCCAAGGAAAAAUCAUGCUAUCUUGAUCAAACUUUCCUACUUCCAAGAGGUGAUGGGGACUUACGGAAGAAAACUUCAGUGAUGCACAACUCCACUCAGGACCCCCUCGUCCUACAGCUCCUGGAGGAAGUAAACAAGUUGAAGGCUGAACGUCAAGCCGAGAUACCUGACUGGAACCAACCCAGGCCUGGCCCUCUCACAAGAAGGAUCCUCAACACCCCCUCCAAGCGAAGACAAAGUAGAAGCUUGACUUACAACUCUAUACUGGAAGGGAAGACCCGAUUGAACACCUUAACCUCUUUGAGUCCACCAUGGUAUACCGGAGACACACCGACGAAGAACGGUGCCUUCUCUUCCCCUCUACCCUCUCUGGCGGAGCUUUAAACUGGUAUUGCUGUCUUCCACCUGAGACAGUAGACUUAUUUGAAGAAUUGAGGAAGCUGUUUGUCUCUCAACACAUCUUCCAAACCGAUCGCUUGCAUUCCGCAGAUGACUUGUACACUAUUCGCCAGAAGCCAGACGAGUCAUUACGAAAGUAUGCUGGCCGCUUCAGCCAUGAGUAUUCUCGUUGCGCUGAGGCAGAUGACAAGACCGCCCUCAAGGCCUUCACGGCAGGCUUACGUGACUGUUUCUUCAAGUACAUGAUCAAUGCCAACACUUGGAAGACUUACUCUGAGGUGAUGGCACAAGCUUACAACCAUGCCUCCGCCGAGGCAAGGACAUAUCAAGGGAAACCCCCUACAGUCACCCCUUAUCAACCUUCCAAACGGUAGCAGCACACCCCCUGCUUCAUUUAAUGCUUCGCCAAGUCAGCAGACAUAUCAAUCCCAAGGCAAAAGGAAAGAUUUCCAUCCUCACCAAUCUCAUUUUAAUAAAAAGAAUAAGGGACACUAUCGCGAUAACUCAGGAUAUUGCACAAUAACGCCCGUCCUCAGGCAAUCAACGCAGUGGGCCAAUCAGGUGUCAAGACAGGCCCUACCCCGAGGUAUGAGACAUACACACCUUUGAACGCUACAUGUGCGGCCAUCUACCCCAGUAUAGCUCACCUAAUACCAAAGUCAAAGCCAAGACAGCCAGAUUACAAGUCCACGAAGAACACGGGCAUGUUUUGUUGCUACCACGAGUAUAAUGGCCAUGAUGGCGAGAAGUGCAUCAUCCUCCGUGAUCAUAUUGAAGCUUUGGCACGUGAAGGAAAAAUUGAUCAGUUCCUCCUUCACCCUCCAAGGGAUAACCGUAACCAACGCCAGAUGAAUGUGAUAUAUUCCAUAAGCGGCGGCACACCCAUGUCUGAAUCAUCCAAUAGGGCCAUGAAAAACAGUGAACGAACUUUGAGACCUGGCUAUUAAGUGUUUCACCUGGAAGACAAUAGGGGAGGCAAGUAUCAAAGCCUAACUGGGAUCCAAUAUGUUUCUACCCUGAGGAAGAAAGAGGUAUCAUCUACCCCCACAACGACCCGUUGAUCGUGGAGGCUCACAUAGCAAAUUUCGAUGUGAAACGAAUCCUGAUAGACACAGGUGCUUCAGUCAAUAUCAUGUUUGCUGAAGCUUUCAAGGAACUUAAUGUAGCUGAACACUUGCUUGAUCGCUCGAUUUCUCCUUUGAUAAGCUUCUCUGGCGAUAUCGUGCAACCUUUAGGGAGUAUACACUUACCCCUCACCAUUGGUACAGGCCCCUACACAACUACUAUUACCACUAACUUCCUAGUGGUCAAUUGCCCGACGACAUACAAUGUCAUCUUUGGGCGCACAUGCAUCAAUAAUCUCAAGGCCAUGGUAUCCACACAUAUGUUGAUGAAAUUUCCAACCCCUUUCGGCAAUGGAUACAUCAGGGGAGAUCAACUUAGUGCUCGAUCAUGUUACAACACUUCAGUUAAGCAGCAACACCUGCCUGUCCCCACGGAGACCCUCUUUAUACAUAACCAAGCAGUAAAGACCAGUCCAGAUGAAGCCAACUCGGAUCUUCAUGAUGGCAACAGUUAACCCGAUGACCCUCGAGAUGACUCCUUCACCCAGCAAGCACAACCCGCUGAAGAGUUAGAGAAUGUCUCUAUCUCCAAAGACCAUCCAGAUCGCAUGGUGAAGAUUGGCACCACUUUGUCGCCACCCCUUCGGCUGUCGCUGAUCUCAUUUUUGCAAGAGAACGCCGAGGUCUUCGCUUGGUCAUAUAAAGAUAUGCCGGGCAUCUCUCCCGAUAUCAUCUGUCACCACUUGAGUAUUGAUCCCAAGACCAAACCAGUAAAACAGAAGCGAAGAUCUUAUGAUGUUGAAUGAUAUGAGGCGAUGAAAGCAGAAGUUGAAAAACUCAAGGGCAUAGGCUUCGUCCGUGAAGUCAAUUACCCAACAUGGGUAGCAAAUGUUGUCCUUGUUAAGAAAAAUCCGACCAAGGAAAGUCUCCUGCUUCAAAAGGUCUUGUGGAGAAUGUGUGUCGAUUACACCGACCUAAAACAAGGAUGUCCGAAAGAUAGUUUCCCCCUUCCUCUCAUUGAUAGACUUAUAGACUCUACGGCAGGGUGUGAGCUAUUGAGCUUCAUGGACACUUAUUCAGGAUACAACCAAAUCCUCAUGAACCCCUCAGACCAAGAACACACAGCCUUCACUACUGACAGGGGACUAUAUUGCUACAAAGUUAUGCCUUUCGGCCUAAAGAAUGCAGUAGCAACUUAUCAGAGACUGGUCAAUUCAAUGUUCGCCGAACAGAUUGGGAAGAGCAUGGAAGUUUACGUUGAUGAUAUGCUAGUCAAGAGCAAACAUGCUGACCAACACAUCACCAACCUAUAUGAAACUUUCACCAUUCUAAAGAGGUAUCAAAUGAGGUUGAACCCCAACAAAUGUGCCUUCGGCAUGGGCUCUGGCAAAUUCUUAGGCUUCAUGAUUAGCCAACGAGGCAUUGAAGCUAACCCCGAAAAGAUCAAAGCAAUCCUCGACAUGAAAGAGCCAGUAACUUCAAAAGACAUCCAAAGCCUUACUGGCAAGGUGGCAGCCUUAACCAGAUUCAUCUCUAAGGCCACAGACAGAUGUGCUCAUUUCUUCAAAGCACUCAAGAGAAAUAAGAAGUACAUUACAUGGACGGAGGAAUAUGCCAAGGCAUUCAGGAACCUCAAAGAGUACAUGAGUAAAGCCCCUCUGCUCUCCAAACCAGAAGUUGGUGACACUCUCAUUAUCUAUCUAUCGGUUUCAGCUUCAGUAAUCAGUUCUGUUCUUAUUCGAAAGGACAGUGGUGUCAAACGGCCCGUCUACUACGCUAGCAAUGCCCUACAAGAUGCGGAGACACGAUAUUCCAACAUUGAGAAAUUAGCUCUAGCAUUGGUCAUGUCUGCUAAAAAACUUCGCCCUUAUUUCUAAGCACACGCCAUCAUCGUGCUUACCAAUCAGCCUCUUCGACAGAUACUUCAGAGUCCUGACACGUUUGGGCGAAUGAUUAAAUGGGCGAUAGCAUUGGGUGAGUUUGACAUCUCCUACCAACCAAAACCAGCCGAAAAUGGGCAAGCAGUAGCAGAUUUCAUCGCCGACUUCACAUAUCCUGUUCACAUUGCUUCUACACCUGAAGCAGUAGCUUCAUUACCAUCGGAAGCUCAGAAGAUAGAAUCAACAACCUUAACAUGGAGUUUGUAUGUUGAUGGAUCAUCCAACCAAUAGGGAUGCAGAGCAGGAUUAGUCUUCAUUACCCCCGACAAAGUCGCGAUAGAAUACGCUAUUCGUUUCAAAUUCAAGGCAUCGAACAACGAGGCCGAAUACGAAGCCCUUCUAGCAGGCUUACGUUUGGCCAAGCACCUUGGGGUUAAACAAAUUGAUAUCUUCAGUGACUCCCAAUUAGUGGUCAACCAAGUCACGAACAACUUUGAUGCUAAGGAUAGCUCCAUGGCAGCAUAUCUUGAUCAAACACGACUUUUGCUCAAGCACUUCCACUACCAGAUCACCCAAGUUCCUCGAGCGGCAAACAGUCAUGCAGAUGCUUUGGCUCGCCUCGCCUCGGCAGUGGAAGACAAGAUUGGGAGAAAAAUUCAUGUCGAAUUGUUGGCAGCACCAAGCACCAUGGUCGCGGAGGUGUGCAAUUUACAACAAGGAGAUAGUUGGAUCACCCCAAUUUAUAAAUUCCUUGCCCAUGGCACCCUCCCAAAUGACAAAGUCCAAGCUAAGCAGAUUCGAUACAAGUCUGCUCGCUACCUGAUCAUUAAUGACCAACUCUACAAGCGCGGUUUUACCCUACCCUACCUAAGAUGCCUUACACCUGCAGAGGCGGAAAUUGUCCUUCAGGAAAUACAUGAAGGAGUCUGCGGAGAUCAUGCUAGGUCUCGAUCCCUAGCACACAAGACUUUUCGCCAAGGAUACUAUUGGCCAACACUCCACCAAGAUGCCAUCAGAAUAUCUCGCUCAUGUGAUAAGUGUCAACGCUACGCAACUAUCCCUCACUCCCCUCCCAAGUCGCUCACUCCUAUGAUCAGCCCUUGGCCCUUGGCCCAAUGGGGACUUGAUUUGAUCGGCCCAAUGCCUGCAGGGAAGGGCAAGGUCCGCUAUGCAAUCGUUGCAGUUGACUACUUCACAAAGUGGGCUGAAGUAGAACCCUUGGCAACCAUUACUGAGGGAAAAAUAGAAGACUUCGUAUGGAAGAACAUCCUAUGUAGAUUCGGCAUUCCCAAUGCGAUAGUCACGGACAAUGGGCGGCAGUUCGACAACAAGAAGUUCAAGAUGUUCUGCUCUAAGUUCAACAUCAACUUAUGUUUUGCCUUUCCAGCCCAUCCCCAAUCUAAUGGACAAGUCGAGGCCGUCAACAAAAUAAUCAAGCGCACUCUGAAAACUAGCUUGGACAAAGCUAAAGGUUGUUGGCCAGAAUUCGUACCCCAAGUUCUUUGGUCAUACCGCACUUCAUAUCAGACUUCCACAGGAGAAACUCUAUUCUCACUUGCUUUUGGUACAGAAGCAGUUGUCCCGGUUGAGCUUGAGCAAGCAACAUACCGAAUCCAGAAUUACAUGCAGAGUGAGAACGACAAACAACUCACCCUCAACCUGGAUCUAGUCGAGGAACACAGAAAUCAGGCUUACCUGAGGAAUGUCGCCUACAAGUAGCGCAUUUCCAACUACUACGACUCAAGGGUCAAACCUCGCUCUUUCAAAAUGGGAGACUGGGUACUGAAGAAAAGAUUACUCUGUGAUAGGGUCCCGAGUGAAGGAACACUCAGUCCUAACUGGGACGGACCGUUCGAGGUCAUCGGCAUCAGUCGCCCUGGCUCCUACAAGCUCAGAAACUCCGACGGCAAAACCCUUGGCCAUCUAUGAAAUGCUGACCACUUGAAGUACUAUUACAAAUAGACUCACAUUGUACAAGUGUUAAGCUACAGCCGUUCGACAUCCUAUGUAACAAAGACCAUUUGGUAUGAAUUCAAUAAAAAGGUGAUUUAGCCAACUCGGCCCUAAACUCUUUUACAUUCUGAGCAAUGAAACACUCAAGUGUUGAAGCUUCAAACGCAAAUGUUUCCAAUACAAAACAAAAUCUAAGUAUGUGUCAACAAGACUAUACAAAGGAUCUACAUCAUACAUUCCAACACAUUUCAUACAUAAACAUCAUACAUUCCAACACAUUCAUACAUAAACAUCAUACAUUCAAUACAUUCAUACAUAAACAUCAUACAUUCCAACACAUUCAUGCAUAAACAUCAUACAUUCCAACACAUCCAUACAUAAGCCAACUGUGCUUCGAAAGGGUUCAACACACUUUGUGUCAUUCGACAUUUGGCCACAAUGUGCCUCGACACCUUGCCCUUAUUCUCACUAACUAGGUGAUGAAGGAACUCAACCUUCGUACCAACCAACUAGGUGAUGAAAUGUACAACCCGUACUCUAAUAUUAUUUGGAAACUUGCCACCCUUAUCACCAAUCAGGUGAAGAAGGAACUCAUCUUCAUGCCACCAACCAGGUGAUGAAAUGUACAACGCGUACUUUCCUUCAUGCCACCAACCAGGUGAUGAAAUGUACAACGCGUACUCUCCUUCAUGUCACUAACCAGGUGAUGAAAUGUGAUGAAAGGUGAUUAAGGAAUUCACAUUCGUACCACCAACCAAGUGAUGAAAGCAACCUACCAUUCAUUCCACUAACCAGAAGACGAGUGGUACAACUUGUACAUGUGAACUCCUAGCAUUCACAAAUAAUCAAAAACCAUCAAGCUUUACAACUCAACUAGGGGAGCACUUAUGCCUAACAAGAGCUAUAGUCACCAACAAAGUCUUAUUGCAAGCCAACAAUGGCUUCAGUGCAUGGUAUACAAAGAUCAAGCUCUUCAGCCCUCUUGCAUCUGCUUCAGACAUUUCUCCUCUGUAACAAUGCAAACACUACAACUCAUAGAAAGCUUCAAACGCUCUUGAUCAAGACUGUUCGAAGCAAAUUCAAUUUAUAUGGUUCAUCCAAACCUUCGACUACUACAAGAUGUGGCUUGAAUCACAAUCUCUCACUUAACAGUAUGGAAGCAAAAUUUGUAUACGUUGUCUCUCCCACAUUUUCAAAUUUCUAGUUUUCCCAAAAAAAAAAAAACAAAAAAAAAAAAAAAAAAAACAAAAAAAAAAAAAAAAAAAAAAAAAAAAAGGAAAUUGGAAAUUGGGAAAUUCAACAAAGCUUCAUCAAUGGAACACAAACUACAAUCCUCAAAAGCUUCGCACUAUCUUCAUCAAGAUAGUGUGAAGCAAAAUCAAUUUAUGGUGCCAACAAAAGCUUCAUCAAUGGAGGACAAAUAUAUCAAUCUCAAAAGCUUUGCACUAUCUUCAUCAAGAUAGUGUGAAGCAAAAUCAAUUUAUGGUGCCAACAAAAGCUUCAUCAAUGGAGGACAAAUAUCAAUCUCAAAAGCUUUGCACUAUCUUCAUCAAGAUAGUGUGAAGCAAAAUUAAUUUAUGGUGCCUAACUUCAAUAAAGCUUCACCUAUAAAGCUUCAACACCAAAAGCCUUCACCUAUAAAAGCUUCAACCCUUCAACACAAAGCUUCACCUAUAAAGCUUCAACACCAAAGCUUCACCUAUAAAGCUUCAACACCAAAGCUUCACCUAUCAAGCUUCAACCCCAAAGCUUCACCUAACAAUACAAAAUUUCAACACCAAAACAUAUAAAAGCUUCACACACUCUUCAUCAAGAUAAUGUGAAGCAAAAUCAAUUCAUGAUGACCAACAAAGCUUCAACCUCAAAGCUUCACUUACAAAGCUUCAACACCAAAGCUUCACCAACAAAACUUUUAAAUAUAUAUAUAUAUAUAUAUAUAUAUAUAUAUAUAUAUAUAUAUAUAUAUAUUUUUUAAUUUUUAUUUUUUUGGAAAUUCGAAAAUUCAAAAAUCCAGAGAUUUGAAAAUUCAAAAAAAAAAAAAAAAAAAAAAAAAUUGCCUAGGCCUCAUCUUCUUUGGGCCUAACAACUUUCAUAACAAAUAUAUAUGAAGAAGGAGUUUUGGGCUACCACUUAGAAAGGAAAUGCCUCAUUCGUCAACUUCCUCGACCAGAGACUUGGGGGACUCCCACCAUAUGCUACUGCACCUUGAUACUCGGAAGUCUCACACCACUCAGUGACUUGGAUUUUUCAAGUCUCAAACCGAGAAGUUUUCCUCACUCGGGAAAUUAAGGGAACACUACCUCAAACUACAUGCUUCACUCACAAAGCUUCAACAAUACAAGUUUCAACAAAAGAAAAAAAUUCAAAGAACUUUCUGAAGAAGGCUUUGGUGCAUUUAACACAAUACGUUGAAAUGAAGCAAAGCUUAUUUAUUAAUAUUUCCGAUAAGCCACAAAUAUGUACAUAUACAUGAGUCAAAAUAAACAAAAAAAAGGGAGCCUUCACAAAGGUUGCUUAGGGGAAGUCUCAGCAGUCGGUAGAGCCCCAGAAAGAGAAAGCACCGGAGGGUGGUUAUCCGGAGCCUCAGUACUGGACAGAACCCCAGAAGGAGGAGGCAUUGGAGGUUGAUCAUUUGGAGCUUCAUUAUGCGGUACAGCCCCAGAAGACGAAGGUAAUAAAUGCCUUUGGAACAAACCCACAAACCUUUUAUGAUCAAGUAAAGCCUGACCAUCAGAUUCCUGCAUCUGGUCAAGUUUCCUCUUCAUGUUUGUAGCAUAGUUAUGCGCGAGCCUGUGCAACUGUUUAUUCUCAUCCUUGAGCCCUCUAAUCUCCUGUUUGAGACUUAUCACUUCAGCAGCCAAUGAUUUAACUUGGCGGGUUCUAGCAAAUAGGCGUUGGGCCAUAUUAGACACAGAAGCUGCACACUGAACACUAAGAGCCAGAGAAUCCUUAACAGCCAACUCAUCAGACCGUUUGGAAAGUAGUCUGUUAUCUCUGGGAGUGAGAAGGUUCCUAGCCACCACCGCAGCGGUCAUAUCAUUCUUCAUCACAGAAUCCCCAACGGUAAGAGGACCAGUAGAGGAUAUGAAGGAUGGGCGCCAUAUGUUGUCUGGAGAAGGCGUGGCUGCCUCUUCUCCAAGGUUCAAGUCAAAACGACGGUCGAAGGGGCCAGACAUUUUCAAAGGUGUUGAAGAGAGAAGAGGUCAGACAAAUCAAGAUCUUAGAAGUGCAAGAAGGGAGCUUCUAAUGGUGGAGAUUCAGGUGUGUUGUGGAACUUAAUGCCAGCCUCUAUAAAAAUCUGCACUCGACGGAGCUUCAGAAAUCGAAGAGGUGUUUGCUUUCUCAAAAGUUGGGCUGCUCAGAGACCACGAGGGCCGAUCUCAAAAAUCGAAAAGACGUUUCCUUUCUCAAAAGCUGGGCUAUUUAGAGACCAUGAGGGCCGAUCUCAGAAAUCGAAGAAGCACCUGCUUUUUCAGCCUCGUCAGCACCUGUCACAAGCACACUCAGCUUUUCGGAAAUUACGGGCAAUCUGUCGAAGAUUUCUGGUGAAGUAGAAAGCACGUGAAUUUUACUGUUCAAUCACCACUCUCCACACGCACCAUCAACUCCUCGGGUACCACAUAUAACUUUGCCAAAGAUCUCUGACAAAGUUUAAGCACGAGAAUUUCGAAGUUCCAGCUACCUUACUAUUACCCACAAGGGUAAAGGAACAGCACCACUGCUUGAUAACUGGAAAGUCCCUAUGUGUGUCGACCUCCGUGUUCCGUGGCAAUACAGGCUAGCAAGAACGUCCAACCUUUACUCACAUUCGAGAAAAGACUCUCAACAUAAUUACUUUCUAAAAAACUGAAGCGGCACUGCUUUCCGAAUCUCGAGAGCCAGAUCCCCGACGGGAUUGCUUGUUCGAAAACCGAAGAGGCACAGCUCUCAGAACUUCGAGAGCCAAAUUUCCUUAGAUAAAGCUUGUAUGUAAUCUUCACACGCAACAUCAGCUUUCUAGAUACCACAUACCACUUUUUCAAAAUGCUCUGACAAAGUUAAAACACGUGAAGCUGGCAGCUCCCACUACAUUGCUGUGACCAAGAAGGGUAAAUGAAUAACAUUACUACUUGUUAUUGGGAAAUCCCUAUAUAUAUUGACCUCCCUCUUCAACAGACAGGCAAACCUGCAAAAAUGCUCAACCCUUUCUCACAUUCGAGAAUGCACCCUCAACAUAACCUCUCGAAAUACUCAGCUUUAUUUCCCCCCGAUAAUACCUCAGCAAAUAAGCCACACCAAGAACAAGAGUAUCUCAUAUCAUCAGGGUCAAAAGCAAGAGUAUCCCAUAUCAUGCUUUCUCCCUGUCCUUGUCUUCGUCCUUGUCCACACCUGCAGGACAAAGAGAAAGAGAACGGUCAGUCGGAACCUGAAAUCAAACCUCCAAUCUGGAACUGACUGCCUGAGACCUUUGCCUGGUUGCUUACUUAGCAUUGCUCUCGAGAACUCAUCCUCAACUGCUAUCAAGGUCAUGAAUUCCACCGGCACAUACCUCAUGACAGUUGAUCAGAUAUUGGCUCUUUACACGGAAGUUGCCAAGCGUGGAUGAGUCACUAUGAAGGAAUGUUCUGAAGGACCAUUUAAAUUCAAAGGUUGCACACCACUUCUGCCAUGCAAAAGAUUGAAGCAGAAGGUUCAACGGUGAGCUGAAACAGAUCACUACAGCAUGACACCUUUCUAUACCACAUUCAUUAUUCCGUCAACAGCAAAAGUAUCCCAUAUCAUCAAGGUCGAACGUACUCUAGAUUUGAUGGACUUGUUUUGACCCUCAAAUUCUUGAGUCAGCCUUAUACUCUGAAGGGAACCAGAAAACCCUCCAGCACAGUUCAAGAAUAAGCCUGUGGAAAGUUACUUCUUCAAAAGCAAAAGUAUCUCAUAUCAUCUCUUCUCCAUUUGCUUCUCCUUAUCUUGGCAGCUGAAUGAGAGACAAGGAGAAGGAGAAUAAUCAACCGGAAGCCGAAGUCGAACCUCCGAUCUUGGGUUGCUUGCUUGGAAGUUUGACUGCUUACCUUGUCUGUCACCUCUUUUGGCAGAUCUCCUAGCUCGGCGACUUGGGGGACUCCUACUAUAGGGUUUGUAUCACACUUGACCAAGCCCGAAACUACAAGUAAGCUUCAAGUGAAAUUGAUACAUUACCUUGUGCAUCUUUAUUGGUUAAAGAUACCACCCAUGGAUGGAGGAAAAGUACUUCCAGAGAAGAUGCCACAUCUACAUAUGAGAGAGAUAAAGCACGUGAAAAUGAUACCACACUUCAGUACUUAGAAGUUUCGUGAUUACUCAAUGGCUUGGAUCUUGCAAGUUCCCAACCGAGGAGCUUCCAUCACUCGGGAACUUAGGGGAGCACUGUUUGUACCAUACUUGACCAAUCCCGAAACUACUGAGCACCGGUCAACGUUAUACUGUCAAGGACCCAGAAGAGCUUCCCUUCAACCAGGAGGCCAAUCACAAUGCGACAUGUGUCGACAUCAGAAGCCAAUCACAGCUCGACAUGUGUCAACAUCAGAAGCCAAUCACAACACGACACGUGUCAAUAUUAGAACAAAACUAGAAACUCUUUUCUAUAAAUAGGGAUCAUUCUCCCACAAUAAUCUCUAAUGUCAUUUUGUACUAAACUAUUCAUUAGAACUCACAAAAUGAGAGCUUGAACCUAUGUAUUUGUGUAAACCAUUCACAAUUAAUGAGAACUCCUCUACUCCGUGGACGUAGCCGAUCUAGGUGAACCACGUACAUCUUGUGUUUGCUUCCCUGUCCCUAUUCAUUUACGUACUUAUCUUCACUAGUGAUCGAAGCAACCAAGCGAAGGUCACAAACCUGACACUUUCUGUUGUACCAAAGUCCUCGCUGAUUUUGUGCAUCAACAAAACCAAUAUGCAAUUCAAUAAUUUUGAUGUUCUUUGUGUUCCUUAUUCUCUUAUUUUGGAUGUCUAUAGCUGUGUUGAAUUACGAGGAAGAUAUAGCCAUCUACACAAUAAAAGCAGCAUCAGAUACAAGGGCAGCCAAUCACGUCCUCACUUGUAAACCGCAACGAGACAUUAUAUCUCAGUUGGACUUGAAACUUACUUGUAGUUUCAGGCUUGGUCAAGCGCGAUACAAACCAUGUAGUAGGAGUCCCCCAAGUCGUCGAGCUAGGGGAUCUGCUGAAAGAGGUGACAGACAAGGUAAGCAAUCAGUCCCAGAUCAGAAGUUUGAUUUCGAGUUCCGGCUGAUUGUUCUCAUUCUCCUUAUCUUGCAGGCAGCAUGAAGGAUAAAGAGAAGAAAAAGGAGAAUAGAUGAUAUGAGAUACUUUUGCUUUUGAAGAAGUAACUUUUCACAGACUUAUUCUUGAACUGGGCUGGAAGGUUUUCUGGUUUCCUCCAGAGUAUAAGGCCGACUGAAGAAUUUGAGGGUCAAAACAAGUCCAUCAAAUCUAGAGUACGUUCGACCCUGCUGAUAUGGGAUACUUUUGCUGUUGACAAAGUAGUGGAUGUAUCGACACGUGUUCUGUUACGCUUGUCUCCACAUGCUUCCUUGUAUCAUUCUCACUUUCCCUAUCUGUUCCUCAGGCAGAUGUGGUAACUUCUCUGGAAGCAUAAGAUGUUGAAGAUGAGUACUCGAGAGCAAUGCCAGGUAAGUAAUCAGGUAAGGGGUUCCAGGCAAUCAGUUCCUGACUGGAAGCUUGAUUCCAAUGGCUGACUGAUUGCUCUCUUUCUCCUUGUCUUGCAGGUAAGAACAAGGCCAAAUGAAAAAGACAGGGAAAAAGCAUGAUAUGGGAUACUUUUGCUUUUAACCAUGAUGAUAUGAGAUAUUCUUGCUCUGGUGUAGCUUGUUUGCAGAGGUAUUACCGGGGGGGGGGAAAGAAAGCUGAGCAUUUCGAGAGGCUUCGUUGGGAGUGCCCUCGCAGAUAUAUAAGGAAGGGUUGAACAUUUUUGCAGGUUUGCAUGUCCGUUGAGGAUGGAGGUCGACAUAUAUAGGAGUCUCCCUAACAACAAGUAGUAAUGCUAUUCCUUUACCCUGCUUGGUCAUAGCACGGUAGUGGGAGCUGCCAGCUUCACGUGUGUCUGAGCACUUUGAAAAAGUGGUCUGUGGUAUCUGGAUAGCUGAUGUUGCGUGUGAAGAUUACAGACAAGUUUUAUCCAAGGAGAUUUGGUUCUCGAAGUUGAGAAAGCGGUGCAUCUUCGAUUUUCGAACAAGCAAUCCUAUCGGGGAUCUGGCUCUCGAGAUUCGGAGAACGGUGCCUCUUCGAUUUUUUGAGAAAGCAAAUCCUGUUGGGAGUUUGGCUCUCGAGAUUCGGAGAGCGGUGUCUCUUCGAUUUUUGAGAAAGUAAUCAUGUUGGGAGUCUGGCUCUCGAGAUUCGGAGGGCGGUGCCUCUUCGAUUUUGGAGCAAGUAAGCACAGAGGUUGACACACAGGGACUUUCCAAUUAUCCAGCAGUGGUGCUGUUCCUUUACCCUUGUGGGUAAUAAUAUGGUAGCUAGACCUUCAAAAUUUAUGUGUCUAAACUUUGUUAGUGCUGUUUCUUUGCUAUUUUGUUACCCUUCUUGGUCAUAGCGAUGUAGUGGGAACUGCAAGCUUCACAUGUCUAAACUUUGUCAGAGAUCUUUGGCAAAGUUAUCUGUGGUACCCAUGAGCUGAUGGUGCGUGUGGAAAGUGGAUGAUUGAACAAUAAGAUUCACUGCUUUCUACUUCACUAGAAAUCUUCAACAGAAUGCCCGUAAUUUCAGCAAAGCUGAGUGAAAUGCAUGUGACAGGUGCUGACAAGGUUGAAAAAAGCUGGUGCCUCUUCGAUUUAUGAGAUCGGCCCUCGUGGUCUCUGAGCAGCCCAACUUUUGAGAAAGCAAGCGCCUCUUCGAUUUCUAAGAUCGGCCUUCGUGGUCUUUGAGCAGCCCGACUUUUGAGAAAGAAAACUCUCUUCGAUUUCUGAGAUCGGCCCUCGUGGUCUCUGAGCGGCCCAGCUUUUGAGAAAGCAAACGCCUCUUCGAUUUCUGGGCAGACGCCUCUUUCAUUUUUGAAGCUCCGUCGAGUGCAGAUUUUCAUAGAGGUUGGCAUUAAGUUCCAAAGCACACUUGAAUCUCCACUAGUAGAAGCUCCCUUCUUACACUUCUAAGAUCUUGAUUUGUCCAACCUUUUCUCUCUUUAACACCUUUGAAAAUGUCUGGCCCCUCCGACCGUCGUUUUGAUUUGAACCUUGUUGAAGAGGCAGCCACGCCUUCUCCAGAUAACAUAUGGCGCCCAUCCUUCUUAUCCCUUACUGGUCCUCUUACCGUUAGGGAUUCCGUGAUGAAGAAUGAUAUAACCGCUGCGGUGGUGGCCAGGAACCUUUUCACUCCCAAAGAUAACAGACUACUUUCCAAACGGUCUGAUGAGUUGGAUGUUAAGGAUUAUCUGGCUCUGAGUGUUCAAUGUGCAGGUUCUAUGUCUAAUAUGGCCCAAUACCUAUUUGCUCGAACCCGCCAAGUUGAAUCAUUGGCGGCUGAAGUGAUGAGUCUCAAACAGGAGAUUAGAGGGCUCAAGCAUGAGAAUAAACAGUUGCACCGGCUCGCACAUGACUAUGCUAUAAACAUGAAGAGGAAGCUUGACCAAAUGAAGGAAUCUGAUGGUAAGGUUGUACUUGAUCAUCAGCGGUUUGUGGGUUUGUUCCAAAGACAUUUAUUGCCUUCAUCUUCUGGGGCUGUACCGCGAAAUGAAGCUCCGAAUGAUCAACCUCCGAUGCCUCCUCCUUCUAAGGUUCUGUCCAGUACUGAGGCUCCGAAUGAUCCCCCUUCAGUGCCUUCUCUUUCUGGGGCUCUACUGACUGCUGAGACUUCUCUUAAGCAACCUUUGUGAAGGCUCCAUGUUGUUUGUUUAUUUUGACUCAUGUAUAUGUACAUAUUUGUAACUGAUCGGAGAUAUCACUAAAUAAGAUUUGCUUCAUUUCAACGUAUUGUGUUAAAUACACCAAAACCUUCUUCACUGAGUGGGGUCGGCUAUGUGAAUCUUAGAACGCCAUUAUACUCGGUCUUGUGUCAUGUCCUCCGUUAGAUCCAAGUACUCUAAGUCUUUUCUUAGAGUCUCUUCCAAAGUUUUCCCUAAGGUCUUCCUCUACCCAUUCGGCCCUGAACCUCUGUCCCGUAGUUGCAUCUUCUAACCGGAGCGUCAGUAGGCCUUCUUUGCAUAUGUCCAAACCACCGUAACCGAUUUUCUCUCAGCUUUCCUACAAUUUUGGCUACUCCUACAUUACCUCGGAUAUCCUCAUUCCUAAUCUUAUCCUUUCUCGUGUGCCCACACAUCCAACGAAGCAUCCUCAUCUCCGCUACACCCAACACCCAUUUUGUGUACGUGUUGAUGCUUCACCACCCAACAUUCUGUGCCAUACAGCAUCGUCGGCCUUAUUGCCGUCCUAUAAAAUUUUCCCUUGAGCUUUAGUGGCAUACGGCGGUCACACAACACACACGCCGGAUGCACUCUUCCACUUCAUCCAUCCAGCUUGUAUUCUAUGGUUGAGAUCUCCAUCUAAUUCUCCGUUCUUUUGCAAGAUAGAUCCUAAGUAGCGAAAAUGAUCGCUCUUUGGUAUUUCCUGAUCUCCGAUCCUCACCCCUAACUCAUUUUUGGCCUCCAUUUGCACUGAACUUGCACUCCAUAUAUUCUGUCUUUGAUCGGCUUAAGCGAAGACCUUUAGAUUCCAACACUUCUCUCCAAAGGUUAAGCUUCGCAUUUACCCCUUCUUGAGUUUCAUCUAUCAAUACUAUAUUGAUAGACGCAUAUUUAUGCGACUUAGUUAACUAGUUUUCUUGCAUUUACGUUAUUAGUUCUUAGUUAUUUUAGUACUUUAAGCCAUUUUCGUGUGUUUGUAGGUCCAAAGGGCUAAGGUAGCAAGAAAGUGCAUUUUGGUGCAUUUUGAAGCAGUUUUGAGCUUGGAAUGGAUUACAUAUGAUAUGAGCAUGAUGGAUGGAUGAAUUUGAAGACAAAAGAGGCUAAGAACAUGCUAAAAAUCUGGUGAAACAAAUACAAGUUGCAAGAAGGGAUAAAUUUCUAAAAGGAUUGGCCAAAACUUCACUCAAAACACAUCAAUGCCGUGACUUUUACUUCCACCUCCACCAGAAAUUUGAGUAAUGAUGCAAUGCUUAAAUCACCAUGACAUGUGUGAGUGGAUGAUGCAAUGCUUAGCUAACCAUGACAUGUGAGUGGAUGACUCAAAAACCUACCCCAACAACAAUUCCCACUCUUGCCGUGACUUACCUACCCAUUCCACCAGAAAUUUGUGCUUAAACAAGUCCAUCAUCUCCCUAUAAAUACCAUUGCAGCAACCUUAUUUGAAUUCAUCAUCCAGAAAUUAACCAUUCUCCAAGCCUUUCCUUGCCUCUCCUACAUAUCUAAACCCCUUCCCAUCCAUUCCUCCAAAUAACCAACCCUUCAACAUCAUUCCAACCUUGUUGUGGCGGCAAGGAGAAGGAGAAAAGUCCUUGGAUGCGCUUGCUAUCCAACAUGGAUCGUUGGAACGUUUAGGUGCUUUCUUCCCUUUGUUUUUCAAUGGUUAAAUUUGUUUAUCUUUGUUUNNNNNNNNNNNNNNNNNNNNNNNNNNNNNNNNNNNNNNNNNNNNNNNNNNNNNNNNNNNNNNNNNNNNNNNNNNNNNNNNNNNNNNNNNNNNNNNNNNNNNNNNNNNNNNNNNNNNNNNNNNNNNNNNNNNNNNNNNNNNNNNNNNNNNNNNNNNNNNNNNNNNNNNNNNNNNNNNNNNNNNNNNNNNNNNNNNNNNNNNNNNNNNNNNNNNNNNNNNNNNNNNNNNNNNNNNNNNNNNNNNNNNNNNNNNNNNNNNNNNNNNNNNNNNNNNNNNNNNNNNNNNNNNNNNNNNNNNNNNNNNNNNNNNNNNNNNNNNNNNNNNNNNNNNNNNNNNNNNNNNNNNNNNNNNNNNNNNNNNNNNNNNNNNNNNNNNNNNNNNNNNNNNNNNNNNNNNNNNNNNNNNNNNNNNNNNNNNNNNNNNNNNNNNNNNNNNNNNNNNNNNNNNNNNNNNNNNNNNNNNNNNNNNNNNNNNNNNNNNNNNNNNNNNNNNNNNNNNNNNAGCCAGUAACUUCAAAAGACAUCCAAAGCCUUACUGGCAAGGUGGCAGCCUUAACCAGAUUCAUCUCUAAGGCCACAGACAGAUGUGCUCAUUUCUUCAAAGCACUCAAGAGAAAUAAGAAGUACAUUAAUGGACGGAGGAAUAUGCCAAGGCAUUCAGGAACCUCAAAGAGUACAUGAGUAAAGCCCCUCCUGCUCUCCAAACCAGAAGUUGGUGGACACUCUCAUUAUCUAUCUAUCGGUUUUCAGCUUCAGUAAUCAGUUCUGUUCUUAUUCGAAAGGACAGUGGUGUCAAACGGCCCGUCUACUACGCUAGCAAUGCCCUACAAGAUGCGGAGACACGAUAUUCCAACAUUGAGAAAUUAGCUCUAGCAUUGGUCAUGUCUGCUAAAAAACUUCGCCCUUAUUUCUAAGCACACGCCAUCAUCGUGCUUAACAAUCAGCCUCUUUCGACAGAUACUUCAGAGUCCUGACACGUUUGGGCGAAUGAUUAAAUGGGCGAUAGCAUGGGUGAGUUUGACAUCUCCUACCAACCAAAACCAGCCGAAAAUGGGCAAGCAGUAGCAGAUUUCAUCGCCGGACUUCACAUAUCCUGUUCACAUUGCUUCUACACCUGAAGCAGUAGCUUCAUUACCAUCGGAAGCUCAGAAGAUAGAAUCAACAACCUUAACAUGGAGUUUGUAUGUUGAUGGAUCAUCCAACCAAUAGGGAUGCAGCAGCAGAGCAGGAUUAGUCUUCAUUACCCCCGACAAAGUCGCGAUAGAAUACGCUAUUCGUUUCAAAUUCAAGGCAUCGAACAACGAGGCCGAAUACGAAGCCCUUCUAGCAGGCUUACGUUUGGCCAAAGCACCUUGGGGUUAAACAAAUUGAUAUCUUCAGUGACUCCCAAUUAGUGGUCAACCAAGUCACGAACAACUUUGAUGCUAAGGAUAGCUCCAUGGCAGCAUAUCUUGAUCAAACACGACUUUUGCUCAAGCACUUCCACUACCAGAUCACCCAAGUUCCUCGAGCGGCAAACAGUCAUGCAGAUGCUUUGGCUCGCCUCGCCUCGGCAGUGGAAGACAAGAUUGGGAGAAAAAUUCAUGUCGAAUUGUUGGCAGCACCAAGCACCAUGGUCGCGGAGGUGUGCAAUUUACAACAAGGAGAUAGUUGGAUCACCCCAAUUUAUAAAUUCCUUGCCCAUGGCACCCUCCCAAAUGACAAAGUCCAAGCUAAGCAGAUUCGAUACAAGUCUGCUCGCUACCUGAUCAUUUAAUGACCAACUCUACAAGCGCGGUUUUAACCCUACCCUACCUAAGAUGCCUUACACCUGCAGAGGCGGAAAUUGUCCUUCAGGAAAUACAUGAAGGAGUCUGCGGAGAUCAUGCUAGGUCUCGAUCCCUAGCACACAAGACUUUUUCGCCAAGGAUACUAUUGGCCAACACUCCACCAAGAUGCCAUCAGAAUAUCUCGCUCAUGUGAUAAGUGUCAACGCUACGCAACUAUCCCUCACUCCCCUCCCAAGUCGCUCACUCCUAUGAUCAAGCCCUUGGCCCUUGCCCAAUGGGGACUUGAUUUGAUCGGCCAAUGCCUGCAGGGAAGGGCAAGGUCCGCUAUGCAAUCGUUGCAGUUGACUACUUCACAAAGUGGGCUGAAGUAGAACCCUUGGCAACCAUUACUGAGGGAAAAAUAGAAGACUUCGUAUGGAAGAACAUCCUAUGUAGAUUCGGCAUUCCCAAUGCGAUAGUCACGGACAAUGGGCGGCAGUUCGACAACAAGAAGUUCAAGAUGUUCUGCUCUAAGUUCAACAUCAACUUAUGUUUUGCCUUUCCAGCCCAUCCCCAAUCUAAUGGACAAGUCGAGGCCGUCAACAAAAUAAUCAAGCGCACUCUGAAAACUAGCUUGGACAAAGCUAAAGGUUGUUGGCCAGAAAUUCGUACCCCAAGUUCUUUGGUCAUACCGCACUUCAUAUCAGACUUCCACAGGAGAAACUCUAUUCUCACUUGCUUUUGGUACAGAAGCAGUUGUCCCGGUUGAGCUUGAGCAAGCAACAUACCGAAUCCAGAAUUACAUGCAGAGUGAGAACGACAAACAACUCACCCUCAACCUGGAUCUAGUCGAGGAACACAGAAAUCAGGCUUACCUGAGGAAUGUCGCCUACAAGUAGCGCAUUUCCAACUACUACGACUCAAGGGUCAAACCUCGCUCUUUCAAAAUGGGAGACUGGGUACUGAAGAAAAGAUUACUCUGUGAUAGGGUCCCGAGUGAAGGAACACUCAGUCCUAACUGGGACGGACCGUUCGAGGUCAUCGGCAUCAGUCGCCCUGGCUCCUACAAGCUCAGAAACUCCGACGGCAAAACCCUUGGCCAUCUAUGAAAUGCUGACCACUUGAAGUACUAUUACAAAUAGACUCACAUUGUACAAGUGUUAAGCUACAGCCGUUCGACAUCCUAUGUAACAAAGACCAUUUGGUAUGAAUUCAAUAAAAAGGUGAUUUAGCCAACUCGGCCCUAAACUCUUUUACAUUCUGAGCAAUGAAACACUCAAGUGUUGAAGCUUCAACGCAAAUGUUUCCAAUACAAAACAAAAUCUAAGUAUGUGUCAACAAGACUAUACAAAGGAUCUACAUCAUACAUUCCAACACAUUCAUACAUAAACAUCAUACAUUCCAACACAUUCAUACAUAAACAUCAUACAUUCCAAUACAUUCAUACAUAAACAUCAUACAUUCCAACACAUUCAUGCAUAAACAUCAUACAUUCCAACACAUCCAUACAUAAGCCAACUGUGCUUCGAAAGGGUUCAACACACUUUGUGUCAUUCGACAUUUGCCACAAUGUGCCUCGACACCUUGCCCUUAUUCUCACUAACUAGGUGAUGAAGGAACUCACCUUCGUACCACCAACUAGGUGAUGAAAUGUACAACCCGUACUCUAAUAUUUAUUUGGAAACUUGCCACCCUUAUCAACCAAUCAGGUGAAGAAGGAACUCAUCUUCAUGCCACCAACCAGGUGAUGAAAUGUACAACGCGUACUUUCCUUCAUGCCACCAACCAGGUGAUGAAAUGUACAACGCGUACUCUCCUUCAUGUCACUAACCAGGUGAUGAAAUGUGAUGAAAGGUGAUUAAGGAAUUCACAUUCGUACCACCAACCAAGUGAUGAAAGCAACCUACCAUUCAUUCCACUAACCAGAAGACGAGUGGUACAACUUGUACAUGUGAACUCCUAGCAUUCACAAAUAAUCAAAAACCAUCAAGCUUUACAACUCAACUAGGGGAGCACUUAUGCCUAACAAGAGCUAUAGUCACCAACAAAGUCUUAUUGCAAGCCAACAAUGGCUUCAGUGCAUGGUAUACAAAGAUCAAGCUCUUCAGCCCUCUUGCAUCUGCUUCAGACAUUUCUCCUCUGUAACAAUGCAAACACUACAACUCAUAGAAAGCUUCAAACGCUCUUGAUCAAGACUGUUCGAAGCAAAUUCAAUUUAUAUGGUUCAUCCAAACCUUCGACUACUACAAGAUGUGGCUUGAAUCACAAUCUCUCACUUAACAGUAUGGAAGCAAAAUUUGUAUACGUUGUCUCUCCCACAUUUUCAAAUUUCUAGUUUUCCCAAAAAAAAAAAAACAAAAAAAAAAAAAAAAAACAAAAAAAACAAAAAAAAAAAAAAAAAAAAAAAAGGAAAUUGGAAAUUGGGAAAUUCAACAAAGCUUCAUCAAUGGAACACAACUACAAUCCUCAAAAGCUUCGCACUAUCUUCAUCAAGAUAGUGUGAAGCAAAAUCAAUUUAUGGUGCCAACAAAAGCUUCAUCAAUGGAGGACAAAUAUCAAUCUCAAAAGCUUUGCACUAUCUUCAUCAAGAUAGUGUGAAGCAAAAUCAAUUUAUGGUGCCAACAAAAGCUUCAUCAAUGGAGGACAAAUAUCAAUCUCAAAAGCUUUGCACUAUCUUCAUCAAGAUAGUGUGAAGCAAAAUUAAUUUAUGGUGCCAACUAAAGCUUCACCUAUAAAGCUUCAACACCAAAGCUUCACCUAUAAAGCUUCAACCCUUCAACACCAAAGCUUCACCUAUAAAGCUUCAACACCAAAGCUAUAAAGCUUCAACACCAAGCUUCACCUAUCAAGCUUCAACCCCAAAGCUUCACCUACAAUACAAAAUUUCAACACCAAAACAUAUAAAAGCUUCACACACUCUUCAUCAAGAUAAUGUGAAGCAAAAUCAAUUCAUGAUGACCAACAAAGCUUCAACCUCAAAGCUUCACUUACAAAGCUUCAACACCAAAGCUUCACCAACAAAACUUUUAAAUAUAUAUAUAUAUUAUAUAUAUAUAUAAUAUAUUAUUUUUAAUUUUUAUUUUUUUGGAAAUUCGAAAAUUCAAAAAUCCAGAAUUUGAAAAUUCAAAAAAAAAAAAAAAAAAAAAAAAAAAAAUUGCCUAGGCCUCAUCUUCUUUGGGCCUAACAACUUUCAUAACAAAUAUAUAUGAAGAAGGAGUUUUGGGCUACCACUUAGAAAGGAAAUGCCUCAUUCGUCAACUCCCUCGACCGGAGACUUGGGGGACUCCUACCAUAUGCUACUGCACCUUGAUACUCGGAAGUCUCACGACCACUCAGUGACUUGGAUUUUUCAAGUCUCCAAACGAAGAAGUUUUCCUCACUCGGGAAAUUAAGGGAGCACUACCUCAACCUACAUGCUUCACUCACAAAGCUUCAACAUACAAGCUUCAACAAAAGAAAAAAAUUCAAAGAACUUUCUGAAGAAGGCCUUUGGUGUAUUUAACACAAUACGUUGAAAUGAAGCAAAGCUUGUUUAUUGAUAUCUCCGAUAAGUUACAAAUAUGUACAUAUACAUGAAUCAAAAUAAACAAAAAAAAGGGAGCCUUCACAAAGGUUGCUUAGGGGAAGUCUCAGCAGUCGGUAGAGCCCCAGAAAAGAGAAAGGCACCAGAGGGUGGUUAUUCGGAGCCUCAGUACUAGGACAGAACCCCAGAAGGAGGAGGCAUUGGAAGGUUGAUCAUUUGGAGCUUCAUUACGCGGUACAGCCCCAGAAGACGAAGGCAAUAAAUGCCUUUGGAACAAACCCACAAACCUUUUGAUGAUCAAGUAAAACCUGACCAUCAGAUUCCUGCAGCUGGUCAAGCUUUCCUCUUCAUGUUUGUAGCAUAGUCAUGUGCGAGCCUGUGCAACUGUUUAUUCUCAUGCUUGAGCCCUCUAAUCUCCUGUUUGAGACUUAUCACUUCAGCAGCCAAUGAUUCAACUUGGCGGGUUCUAGCAAAUAGGCGUUGGGCCAUAUUAGACACAGAAGCCUGCACACUGAACACUAAGAGCCAGAGAAUCCUUAACAGCCAACUCAUCAGACCGUUUGGAAAGUAGUCUGUUAUCUUUGGGAGUGAGAAGGUUCCUGGCCACCACCGCAGCGGUCAUAUCAUUCUUCAUCACAGAGUCCCCAACGGUAAGAGGACCAGUAGGGAUAUGAAGGAUGGGCGCCAUAUGUUGUCUGGAGAAGGCGUGGCUGCCUCUUCUCCAAGGUUCAAGUCAAAACGACGGUCGAAGGGGCCAGACAUUUUCAAAGGUGUUGAAGAGAGAAGAGGUCAGACAAAUCAAGAUCUUAGAAGUGCAAGAAGGGAGCUUCUAAUGGUGGAGAUUCAGGUGUGUUGUGGAACUUAAUGCCAGCCUCUAUAAAAAUCUGCACUCGACGGAGCUUCAGAAAUCGAAGAGGUGUUUGCUUUCUCAAAAGUUGGGCUGCUCAGAGACCACGAGGGCCGAUCUCAAAAAUCGAAAAGACGUUUCCUUUCUCAAAAGCUGGGCUAUUUAGAGACCAUGAGGGCCGAUCUCAGAAAUCGAAGAAGCACCUGCUUUUUCAGCCUCGUCAGCACCUGUCACAAGCACACUCAGCUUUUCGGAAAUUACGGGCAAUCUGUCGAAGAUUUCUGGUGAAGUAGAAAGCACGUGAAUUUUACUGUUCAAUCACCACUCUCCACACGCACCAUCAACUCCUCGGGUACCACAUAUAACUUUGCCAAAGAUCUCUGACAAAGUUUAAGCACGAGAAUUUCGAAGUUCCAGCUACCUUACUAUUACCCACAAGGGUAAAGGAACAGCACCACUGCUUGAUAACUGGAAAGUCCCUAUGUGUGUCGACCUCCGUGUUCCGUGGCAAUACAGGCUAGCAAGAACGUCCAACCUUUACUCACAUUCGAGAAAAGACUCUCAACAUAAUUACUUUCUAAAAACUGAAGCGGCACUGCUUUCCGAAUCUCGAGAGCCAGAUCCCCGACGGGAUUGCUUGUUCGAAAACCGAAGAGGCACAGCUCUCAGAACUUCGAGAGCCAAAUUUCCUUAGAUAAAGCUUGUAUGUAAUCUUCACACGCAACAUCAGCUUUCUAGAUACCACAUACCACUUUUUCAAAAUGCUCUGACAAAGUUAAAACACGUGAAGCUGGCAGCUCCCACUACAUUGCUGUGACCAAGAAGGGUAAAUGAAUAACAUUACUACUUGUUAUUGGGAAAUCCCUAUAUAUAUUGACCUCCCUCUUCAACAGACAGGCAAACCUGCAAAAAAUGCUCAACCCUUUCUCACAUUCGAGAAUGCACCCUCAACAUAACCUCUCGAAAUACUCAGCUUUAUUUCCCCCGAUAAUACCUCAGCAAAUAAGCCACACCAAGAACAAGAGUAUCUCAUAUCAUCAGGGUCAAAAGCAAGAGUAUCCCAUAUCAUGCUUUCUCCCUGUCCUUGUCUUCGUCCUUGUCCACACCUGCAGGACAAAGAGAAAGAGAACGGUCAGUCGGAACCUGAAAUCAAACCUCCAAUCUGGAACUGACUGCCUGAGACCUUUGCCUGGUUGCUUACUUAGCAUUGCUCUCGAGAACUCAUCCUCAACUGCUAUCAAGGUCAUGAAUUCCACCGGCACAUACCUCAUGACAGUUGAUCAGAUAUUGGCUCUUUACACGGAAGUUGCCAAGCGUGGAUGAGUCACUAUGAAGGAAUGUUCUGAAGGACCAUUUAAAUUCAAAGGUUGCACACCACUUCUGCCAUGCAAAAGAUUGAAGCAGAAGGUUCAACGGUGAGCUGAAACAGAUCACUACAGCAUGACACCUUUCUAUACCACAUUCAUUAUUCCGUCAACAGCAAAAGUAUCCCAUAUCAUCAAGGUCGAACGUACUCUAGAUUUGAUGGACUUGUUUUGACCCUCAAAUUCUUGAGUCAGCCUUAUACUCUGAAGGGAAACCAGAAAACCCUCCAGCACAGUUCAAGAAUAAGCCUGUGGAAAGUUACUUCUUCAAAAGCAAAAGUAUCUCAUAUCAUCUCUUCUCCAUUUGCUUCUCCUUAUCUUGGCAGCUGAAUGAGAGACAAGGAGAAGGAGAAUAAUCAACCGGAAGCCGAAGUCGAACCUCCGAUCUUGGGUUGCUUGCUUGGAAGUUUGACUGCUUACCUUGUCUGUCACCUCUUUUGGCAGAUCUCCUAGCUCGGCGACUUGGGGGACUCCUACUAUAGGGUUUGUAUCACACUUGACCAAGCCCGAAACUACAAGUAAGCUUCAAGUGAAAUUGAUACAUUACCUUGUGCAUCUUUAUUGGUUAAAGAUACCACCAUGGAUGGAGGAAAAGUACUUCCAGAGAAGAUGCCACAUCUACAUAUGAGAGAGAUAAAGCACGUGAAAAUGAUACCACACUUCAGUACUUAGAAGUUUCGUGAUUACUCAAUGGCUUGGAUCUUGCAAGUUCCCAACCGAGGAGCUUCCAUCACUCGGGAACUUAGGGGAGCACUGUUUGUACCAUACUUGACCAAUCCCGAAACUACUGAGCACCGGUCAACGUUAUACUGUCAAGAAGAGCUUCCCUUCAACCAGGAGGCCAAUCACAAGGCGUGCACGACAUGUGUCGACAUCAGAAGCCAAUCACAGCUCGACAUGUGUCAACAUCAGAAGCCAAUCACAACACGACACGUGUCAAUAUUAGAACAAAACUAGAAACUCUUUUCUAUAAAUAGGGAUCAUUCUCCCACAAUAAUCUCUAAUGUCAUUUUGUACUAAACUAUUCAUUAGAACUCACAAAAUGAGAGCUUGAACCUAUGUAUUUGUGUAAACCAUUCACAAUUAAUGAGAACUCCUCUACUCCGUGGACGUAGCCGAUCUAGGUGAACCACGUACAUCUUGUGUUUGCUUCCCUGUCCCUAUUCAUUUACGUACUUAUCUUCACUAGUGAUCGAAGCAACCAAGCGAAGGUCACAAACCUGACACUUUCUGUUGUACCAAAGUCCUCGCUGAUUUUGUGCAUCAACAAAACCAAUAUGCAAUUCAAUAAUUUUGAUGUUCUUUGUGUUCCUUAUUCUCUUAUUUUGGAUGUCUAUAGCUGUGUUGAAUUACGAGGAAGAUAUAGCCAUCUACACAAUAAAAGCAGCAUCAGAUACAAGGGCAGCCAAUCACGUCCUCACUUGUAAACCGCAACGAGACAUUAUAUCUCAGUUGGACUUGAAACUUACUUGUAGUUUCAGGCUUGGUCAAGCGCGAUACAAACCAUGUAGUAGGAGUCCCCCAAGUCGUCGAGCUAGGGGAUCUGCUGAAAGAGGUGACAGACAAGGUAAGCAAUCAGUCCCAGAUCAGAAGUUUGAUUUCGAGUUCCGGCUGAUUGUUCUCAUUCUCCUUAUCUUGCAGGCAGCAUGAAGGAUAAAGAGAAGAAAAAGGAGAAUAGAUGAUAUGAGAUACUUUUGCUUUUGAAGAAGUAACUUUUCACAGACUUAUUCUUGAACUGGGCUGGAAGGUUUUCUGGUUUCCUCCAGAGUAUAAGGCCGACUGAAGAAUUUGAGGGUCAAAACAAGUCCAUCAAAUCUAGAGUACGUUCGACCCUGCUGAUAUGGGAUACUUUUGCUGUUGACAAAGUAGUGGAUGUAUCGACACGUGUUCUGUUACGCUUGUCUCCACAUGCUUCCUUGUAUCAUUCUCACUUUCCCUAUCUGUUCCUCAGGCAGAUGUGGUAACUUCUCUGGAAGCAUAAGAUGUUGAAGAUGAGUACUCGAGAGCAAUGCCAGGUAAGUAAUCAGGUAAGGGGUUCCAGGCAAUCAGUUCCUGACUGGAAGCUUGAUUCCAAUGGCUGACUGAUUGCUCUCUUUCUCCUUGUCUUGCAGGUAAGAACAAGGCCAAAUGAAAAGACAGGGAAAAAGCAUGAUAUGGGAUACUUUUGCUUUUAACCAUGAUGAUAUGAGAUAUUCUUGCUCUGGUGUAGCUUGUUUGCAGAGGUAUUACCGGGGGGGGGGAAAGAAAGCUGAGCAUUUCGAGAGGCUUCGUUGGGAGUGCCCUCGCAGAUAUAAGGAAGGGUUGAACAUUUUUGCAGGUUUGCAUGUCCGUUGAGGAUGGAGGUCGACAUAUAUAGGAGUCUCCCUAACAACAAGUAGUAAUGCUAUUCCUUUACCCUGCUUGGUCAUAGCACGGUAGUGGGAGCUGCCAGCUUCACGUGUGUCUGAGCACUUUGAAAAAGUGGUCUGUGGUAUCUGGAUAGCUGAUGUUGCGUGUGAAGAUUACAGACAAGUUUUAUCCAAGGAGAUUUGGUUCUCGAAGUUGAGAAAGCGGUGCAUCUUCGAUUUUCGAACAAGCAAUCCUAUCGGGGAUCUGGCUCUCGAGAUUCGGAGAACGGUGCCUCUUCGAUUUUUGAGAAAGCAAUCCUGUUGGGAGUUUGGCUCUCGAGAUUCGGAGAGCGGUGUCUCUUCGAUUUUUGAGAAAGUAAUCAUGUUGGGAGUCUGGCUCUCGAGAUUCGGAGGGCGGUGCCUCUUCGAUUUUGGAGCAAGUAAGCACAGAGGUUGACACACAGGGACUUUCCAAUUAUCCAGCAGUGGUGCUGUUCCUUUACCCUUGUGGGUAAUAAUAUGGUAGCUAGACCUUCAAAAUUUAUGUGUCUAAACUUUGUUAGUGCUGUUUCUUUGCUAUUUUGUUACCCUUCUUGGUCAUAGCGAUGUAGUGGGAACUGCAAGCUUCACAUGUCUAAACUUUGUCAGAGAUCUUUGGCAAAGUUAUCUGUGGUACCCAUGAGCUGAUGGUGCGUGUGGAAAGUGGAUGAUUGAACAAUAAGAUUCACUGCUUUCUACUUCACUAGAAAUCUUCAACAGAAUGCCCGUAAUUUCAGCAAAGCUGAGUGAAAUGCAUGUGACAGGUGCUGACAAGGUUGAAAAAAGCUGGUGCCUCUUCGAUUUAUGAGAUCGGCCCUCGUGGUCUCUGAGCAGCCCAACUUUUGAGAAAGCAAGCGCCUCUUCGAUUUCUAAGAUCGGCCUUCGUGGUCUUUGAGCAGCCCGACUUUUGAGAAAGAAAACUCUCUUCGAUUUCUGAGAUCGGCCCUCGUGGUCUCUGAGCGGCCCAGCUUUUGAGAAAGCAAACGCCUCUUCGAUUUCUGGGCAGACGCCUCUUUCAUUUUUGAAGCUCCGUCGAGUGCAGAUUUUUCAUAGAGGUUGGCAUUAAGUUCCAAAGCACACUUGAAUCUCCACUAGUAGAAGCUCCCUUCUUACACUUCUAAGAUCUUGAUUUGUCCAACCUUUUCUCUCUUUAACACCUUUGAAAUGUCUGGCCCCUCCGACCGUCGUUUUGAUUUGAACCUUGUUGAAGAGGCAGCCACGCCUUCUCCAGAUAACAUAUGGCGCCCAUCCUUCUUAUCCCUUACUGGUCCUCUUACCGUUAGGGAUUCCGUGAUGAAGAAUGAUAUAACCGCUGCGGUGGUGGCCAGGAACCUUUUCACUCCCAAAGAUAACAGACUACUUUCCAAACGGUCUGAUGAGUUGGAUGUUAAGGAUUAUCUGGCUCUGAGUGUUCAAUGUGCAGGUUCUAUGUCUAAUAUGGCCCAAUACCUAUUUGCUCGAACCCGCCAAGUUGAAUCAUUGGCGGCUGAAGUGAUGAGUCUCAAACAGGAGAUUAGAGGGCUCAAGCAUGAGAAUAAACAGUUGCACCCGGCUCGCACAUGACUAUGCUAUAAACAUGAAGAGGAAGCUUGACCAAAUGAAGGAAUCUGAUGGUAAGGUUGUACUUGAUCAUCAGCGGUUUGUGGGUUUGUUCCAAAGACAUUUAUUGCCUUCAUCUUCUGGGGCUGUACCGCGAAAUGAAGCUCCGAAAUGAUCAACCUCCGAUGCCUCCUCCUUCUAAGGUUCUGUCCAGUACUGAGGCUCCGAAUGAUCCCCCCUUCAGUGCCUUCUCUUUCUGGGGCUCUACUGACUGCUGAGACUUCUCUUAAGCAACCUUUGUGAAGGCUCCAUGUUGUUUGUUUAUUUUGACUCAUGUAUAUGUACAUAUUUGUAACUGAUCGGAGAUAUCACUAAAUAAGAUUUGCUUCAUUUCAACGUAUUGUGUUAAAUACACCAAAACCUUCUUCACUGAGUGGGGUCGGCUAUGUGAAUCUUAGAACGCCAUUAUACUCGGUCUUGUGUCAUGUCCUCCGUUAGAUCCAAGUACUCUAAGUCUUUUCUUAGAGUCUCUUCCAAAGUUUUCCUAGGUCUUCCUCUACCCAUUCGGCCCUGAACCUCUGUCCCGUAGUUGCAUCUUCUAACCGGAGCGUCAGUAGGCCUUCUUUGCAUAUGUCCAAACCACCGUAACCGAUUUUCUCUCAGCUUUCCUACAAUUUUGGCUACUCCUACAUUACCUCGGAUAUCCUCAUUCCUAAUCUUAUCCUUUCUCGUGUGCCCACACAUCCAACGAAGCAUCCUCAUCUCCGCUACACCCAUUUUGUGUACGUGUUGAUGCUUCACCACCCAACAUUCUGUGCCAUACAGCAUCGUCGGCCUUAUUGCCGUCCUAUAAAAUUUUCCCUUGAGCUUUAGUGGCAUACGGCGGUCACACAACACGCCGGAUGCACUCUUCCACUUCAUCCAUCCAGCUUGUAUUCUAUGGUUGAGAUCUCCAUCUAAUUCUCCGUUCUUUUGCAAGAUAGAUCCUAAGUAGCGAAAAUGAUCGCUCUUUGGUAUUUCCUGAUCUCCGAUCCUCACCCCUAACUCAUUUUGGCCUCCAUUUGCACUGAACUUGCACUCCAUAUAUUCUGUCUUUGAUCGGCUUAAGCGAAGACCUUUAGAUUCCAACACUUCUCUCCAAAGGUUAAGCUUCGCAUUUACCCCUUCUUGAGUUUCAUCUAUCAAUACUAUAUUGAUAGACGCAUAUUUAUGCGACUUAGUUAACUAGUUUUCUUGCAUUUACGUUAUUAGUUCUUAGUUAUUUUAGUACUUUAAGCCAUUUUCGUGUGUUUGUAGGUCCAAAGGGCUAAGGUAGCAAGAAAGUGCAUUUUGGUGCAUUUUGAAGCAGUUUUGAGCUUGGAAUGGAUUACAUAUGAUAUGAGCAUGAUGGAUGGAUGAAUUUGAAGACAAAAGAGGCUAAGAACAUGCUAAAAAUCUGGUGAAACAAAUACAAGUUGCAAGAAGGGAUAAAUUUCUAAAAGGAUUGGCCAAAACUUCACUCAAAACACAUCAAUGCCGUGACUUUUACUUCCACCUCCACCAGAAAUUUGAGUAAUGAUGCAAUGCUUAAAUCACCAUGACAUGUGAGUGGAUGAUGCAAUGCUUAGCUAACCAUGACAUGUGAGUGGAUGACUCAAAACCUACCCCAACAACAAUUCCCACUCUUGCCGUGACUUACCUACCCAUUCCACCAGAAAUUUGUGCUUAAACAAGUCCAUCAUCUCCCUAUAAAUACCAUGCAGCAACCUUAUUGAAUUCAUCCAGAAAUUAACCAUUCUCCAAGCCUUUCCUUGCCUCUCCUACAUAUCUAAACCCCUUCCCAUCCAUUCCUCCAAAUAACCAACCCUUCAACAUCAUUCCAACCUUGUUGUGGCGGCAAGGAGAAGGAGAAAAGUCCUUGGAUGCGCUUGCUAUCCAACAUGGAUCGUUGGAACGUUUAGGUGCUUUCUUCCCUUUGUUUUUCAAUGGUUAAAUUUGUUUAUCUUUGUUUUGUAAUAAUGAGGAACUAAACCCCCCUUGGCUAGGGGGGGAUUCAAAAACCAUGUUUAUGCUUGCUAUAUGAUUUGAUUACUUCCAAUUGCGUUUCUUGAAUUGUGAAUUCAAUUUACUUAUCCGUUCGUAUAAAAAACUAAUUUGUGUAUGUUGGUUGAGAGUGCACGCUUAAUUUUCAUGCAUGAAUUUGACGCUAGAAUAUAAGGGAGUUUCACCUAAUCGUUAUGAACUUAUAUUCACAAUUAGUGAAGGUUGCUAGUCACAAUCACGUUAAGUAAAUUCUUGGCAUAAGUUUCAUGCAAAUCAUAGUAACGAGUGCCUCGUCAAUGCUUAUGUUUUUCAUAGAACUUAAUGAUUCUUGCUUGUAUCUCUAUUAUGCAAUUCAUGUAGGGAACUUGUAGGGAAUGUUUUGGGUUGUCGUAUGCAAUCAUCCAAUCUAAUAACUUGUUGAAAAACUGAGAGUUAAUUAGUGCAAUUCACGGUUAAUUUGGGGCGUUGAGUAUUCAUAACUUAUCGAAGGGCAAUUGGAAAUCAUUUUGUAUGCAAGCAAGACAUGUGUGGAGAAGAACCCCUUAGCUAGCCUUCCAUUAUCCAUUCAACCCAAAUUUGUUUAAAAUCUAUUUAAGUUUUUAGUUUAUUCGUUUUUACUUUCAACUUCACCAAACUCAAAUCCCCAUUUUACUUUCUUGUUUUAAAAUCUUUUGUUUACAUUUUUAACUUUGUUUAUUUUUGUUUUUGAGUCAGUUUAGAGGUUUUAGCAAGCCCUCAUAAUCCCCGGUUUAGAACGAUCCCUACUUACAUACUUUGCUACAAUUGUCAAAAAGAGGGUUUAAUUUGAGUGUGCUUAUAAUUCUCGCUUCAUAUAUCAUCUGCGAAAAGCAUACACCAAGGAAUAUCAUCUUGAAUAUGUCAUGUUAACUCAUCCAUUACCAACAUAAAAAAGUAAGGACUUAAGGAUGAGCCUUGAUGUAAUCCUACAGUUAUGGGGAAGCUUUGGGUUUGUCUUUCAUGAGUUCUUAUGGCAGUCUUUGCUCCUUCAUACAUAUCCUUUAUAGCUUGGAUAUAUCCUACUCGUACUCAUUUCUUCUCUAAAACCCUCCAAAGAAUGUUUCUUGGGACCCUAUCAUACGCUUUUUCCAAAUCUAUAAAGACCAUGUGUAAAUCCUUUUUCCUAUCUCUAUAUCUUUCCAUCAAUCUUUGUAAGAGAUAGAUUGCCUCCAUGGUUGAGCGCCCUGGCAUGAACCCGAAUUGGUUGUCCGAAACCCGUGUCUCUUGCCUCAAUCUAUGCUCAAUGAUUCUCUCCCAGAGCUUCAUUGUAUGACUCAUUAGCUUAAUACCCAUAUAGUUCAUGCAAUUUUGUACGUCGCCCUUAUUCUUGUAGAUAGGCACCAAAGUGCUCUUUCGCCACUCAUUUGGCAUCUUCUUCGUUUUCAAAAUCCUAUUGAAAAGGUCAGUGAGCCAUGCUAUACCUGUCUCUCCCAAAACGUUCCAUACUUCGAUCGGUAUAUCGUCUGGGCCCACUGUUUUUCUAUACGUUAUCUUCUUCAAAGCUAUAACCACUUCUUCCUUCCUAAUUCGACGAUAAAAUGAGUAGUUUCUACACUCUUUUGAGUUACUCAACUCCCCUAAAGAAAUACUUCUUUCAUGUCCUUCAUUGAAAAGAUUAUGAAAAUAACCUUUCCAUCUGUCUUUGACCGCAUUCUUGUAGCAAGAACCUUUCCAUCCUCAUCCUUGAUUCACCUCACUUGGUUUAGGUCACUUGUCUUCUUUUCCCUUGCUCUAGCUAGUUUAUAGAUAUCCAACUCUCCUUCUUUGGUAUCUAGUCACUUAUACAUAUCGUCAUAAGCCGCUAACUUAGCUUCUCUCACAGCUUUCUUUGCCUUUUGCUUCGCUCUUCUAUACCUUUCACCAUUGUCAUCGGUCCUGUCCUUGUAUAAGGCUUUACAACAUUCCUUCUUAGCCUUCACCUUUGUUUGUACCUCCUCAUUCCACCACUAAGAUUCCUUUUGGUGUGGAGCAAAGCCCUUGGACUCUCCUAAUACCUCUUUUGCUACUUUUCGGAUACAACUAGCCAUGGAAUCCCACCUUUGGCUAGCUUCCCCCUCUCUAUCCCACACACACUGGGUAAUUACUUUCUCUUUGAAAAUGGCUUGUUUUUCUCCUUUUAGAUUCCACCAUCUAGUCCUUGGGCAUUUCCAAGUCUUGUUCUUUUUUCUCACUCUUUUGAUAUGUACAUCCAUCACUAACAAGCGAUGUUGAUUAGCCAAGCUCUCUCCCGGUAUAACUUUGCAAUCCUUACAAGUUAUACGAUUCCCUUUCCCCAUUAAAAGAAACUCUAUUUGUGUUUUUGACGACCCACUCUUGUAGGUGAUCACAUGUUCUUCUCUCUUCUUAAAGAAUGUGCUGGCUAAGAAGAGAUCAUACGCCAUUGCAAAAUCCAAGAUAGCUUCCCCAUCCUCGUUUCUCUCCCCAAAACCAUGGUCACCAUGAAAACCUCCAUAGUUGCCUGUCUCCCUGCCCACGUGUCCAUUUAAAUCUCCUCCUAUAAAUAACUUCUCCGUCUGGGCGAUUUCUUGCACCAAGUCUCCAAGGUCUUCCCAAAAUUUCUCAUUCGAACUCGUAUCCAACCCUACUUGAGGUGCGUACGCACUAAUCACAUUGAUGAGUUCUUGUCCAAUUACAAUAUUGAUUGCCAUGAUUCUAUCUCCUACCCUCUUGACAUCUACAACAUCUUGUGUCAAGGUCUUGUCCACGAUGAUACAAACCCCGUUUCUCGUUCUAUUUGUGCCCGAAUACCAAAGUUUAAACCCUGAGUUUUCUAGAUCCUUUGCCUUAAUACCAACCCACUUAGUUUCUUGUAGGCACAUAAUAUUUAUCAUUCUCCUUACCAUAACUUCCACUACUUCCAUAGAUUUUCCCGUUCAGGUUCCUAUAUACCCAUAUAGUUCAUGCAAUUUUGUACGUCGCCCUUAUUCUUGUAGAUAGGCACCAAAGUGCUCUUUUGCCACUCAUUUGGCAUCUUCUUCGUUUUCAAAAUCCUAUUGAAAAGGUCAGUGAGCCAUGCUAUACUUGUCUCUCCCAAAACUUUCCACACUUCGAUCGGUAUAUCGUCUGAGCCCACUGCUUUUCUAUGCGUUAUCUUCUUCAAAGCUAUAACCACUUCUUCCUUCCUGAUUCGACGAUAAAAGGAGUAGUUUCUACACUCUUCUGAGUUACUCAACUCCCCUAAAGAAGUACUUCUUUCAUGUCCUUCAUUGAAAAGAUUAUGAAAAUAACCUUUCCAUCUGUCUUUGACCGCAUUCUUGUAGCAAGAACCUUUCCAUCAUCAUCCUUGAUUCACCUCACUUGGUUUAGGUCACUUGUCUUCUUUUCCCUUGCUCUAGCUAGUUUAUAGAUAUCCAACUCUCCUUCUUUGGUAUCUAGUCGCUUAUACAUAUCGUCAUAAGCCGCUAACUUAGCUUCUCUCACAGCUUUCUUUGCCUUUUGCUUCGCUCUUCUAUACCUUUCACCAUUUUCAUCGGUCCUGUCCUUGUAUAAGGCUUUACAACAUUCCUUCUUAGCCUUCACCUUUGUUUGUACCUCCUCAUUCCACCACUAAGAUUCCUUUUGGUGUGGAGCAAAGCCCUUGGACUCUCCUAAUACCUCUUUUGCUACUUUUCGGAUACAACUAGCCAUGGAAUCCCACCUUUGGCUAGCUUCCCCCUCUCUAUCCCACACACACUGGGUAAUUACUUUCUCUUUGAAAAUGGCUUGUUUUUCUCCUUUUAGAUUCCACCAUCUAGUCCUUGGGCAUUUCCAAGUCUUGUUCUUUUUUCUCACUCUUUUGAUAUGUACAUCCAUCACUAACAAGCGAUGUUGAUUAGCCAAGCUUUCUCCCGGUAUAACUUUGCAAUCCUUACAAGUUAUACGAUCCCCUUUCCCCAUUAAAAGAAAAUCUAUUUGUGUUUUUGACGACCCACUCUUGUAGGUGAUCACAUGUUCUUCUCUCUUCUUAAAGAAUGUGUUGGCUAAGAAGAGAUCAUAUGCCAUUGCAAAAUCCAAGAUAGCUUCCCCAUCCUCGUUUCUCUCCCCAAAACCAUGGUCACCAUGAAAACCUCCAUAGUUGCCUGUCUCCCUGCCAACGUGUCCAUUUAAAUCUCCUCCUAUAAAUAACUUCUUCGUCUGGGCAAUUCCUUGCACCAAGUCUCCAAGGUCUUCCCAAAAUUUCUCCUUCGAACUCGUAUCCAACCCUACUUGACGUGCGUACGCACUAAUCACAUUGAUGAGUUCUUGUCCUAUUACAAUCUUGAUUGCCAUGAUUCUAUCUCCUACCCUCUUGACAUCUACAACAUCUUGUGUCAAGGUCUUGUCCACGAUGAUGCCAACACCGUUUCUCGUUCUAUUUGUGCCCGAAUACCAAAGUUUAAACCCUGAGUUUUCUAGAUCCUUUGCCUUAAUACCAACACACUUAGUUUCUUGUAGGCACAUAAUAUUUAUCAUUCUCCUCACCAUAACUUCCACUACUUCCAUAGAUUUUCCCGUUAAGGUUCCUAUAUUCCACGUUCCUAAACGCAUUUUACUAUCUUGAACUCUACCCUUAUGUCCUAGCUUCUUCACCCUCCCCCGUCCAAUAGGAUCAAAGUACUUCUUUUGUGUGUCAUGUGUAAAGUUGAUAGGAGCAUAUGCUUCCAAACAACUUUGAGUGGAGUCGUUCGAAAAGAAGUUUCUAUGGCCCCCUUGCUCAUUUAACACUGCAUCCAGGUGCCGAUGGAGAUACAGUGACCCUUGCUUACUUAUCACUGUGCUCAGGCCACACAGCGCGCCACUUACGGGUGACGCCCUAGCUUUAGCGCGAUUUCGUUCUGGAUUCAUUUUCAUAAGGAUUCGAUUACAACCUCCAUUCAUUUCACCUACAUCAUACACUUACCUCACCUACAAUAUCCACCCAAUUCACCUACAACAAUCCACUCAAUCCACUUACAACAUCCACCAAAACAAAAGGAUGAUGGUAAUUCAUUCUCAAAGCCUAUAAAUAGGCCUCCCCAUCAAAGGAUCAAGGGAGGAUUUUGCAUACAUUUUCUCUACUCCCAAAUUGGAAGAGAAUUCACAUCACACCAAAGCCUUGAAGCGUCGAAACUAUAAAGCUUUCAAGCAAAUCCCGAAAAAUCAAGAAAGCUCUCUUUGUUCUUUGUCAAAAUCCUCCUUCAAGAUCAAGCCCCAACGGCCCUUGAAGAAACUUCCACUAAUUCAAGAUCAAGCCCCGACGGCCUUUGAAGAAAGUGUUCAUCAUUCAUCAUCCGUUCAUCCUAAAGAUCAAGCCCCGACGGCCCUUUGGAUCAAUAACAUCAACAAAUCUACCCAUUACAAAGAUAGAAUUAGAGGAUCAAAUUGCAAAAGAGAUUGUAACCCAAAAAAUUAAUACAAAAUAUUAUUUUGUACACGUGAUCUUGUCUCGUUCAUCGCAGGGAUUCUCGUGUUUACAAAUUUGGCACGCCCGGUAGGACCUUUCUCUACCUCUCAUCUCUAUCUUUGAAUCCGCAAAAAGCAUAAAUGGCAUCAAAGAAGGCUCAAGUUGUUCUCGCAACCAAUGCAAGGAACAAGAGUGUCAUCACCGCAGGUGGUAUCACUUCGGGCGUCACGACACGAAGCAAGGUAAGAGCUCUUUCUGCCACAUCUUCUACCCCUGCAUCAACUCCGCCGAAGGAACAAGAGCACCUGAGGCACGAACCUGUGAUCACCCUGGCCUCGCUAAGGGCGCUAAGAGAGGAAAGCCCAAGAAAGUACUCUGGUUCCAUGCUUUCCGAUACCGACUCAAGCAGCAGCUCAGCCAUGCAAGUCAUGACCACGGAAGCGACUUCAAUCGAUGAGUAGCUGACUCAUAUGAAUGAAGCGAUAACAAGGCUAACACGAAUUGUGGAAGAAAAAGACUCACAAAUCGCUGCACUCGUUAACCAAUUAGAGACGCAGCAAGACGAGAAACCUGACCUAAAGGGUAAUCCACUAAAGAGAGAAGCUGGCGAAGAAGAUGAGCCUCAGGUGGAGAAAAUCGAUGUAAAGUCGGAGCCAGACCGAGCAGCGGCACUCAUGGGAUCUCUCUCUAUUCAGCAGCUGUAGGAAAUGAUCGCCAGUACCAUCAAGGCACAGUACGAAGGAAGCUUACAUGACUCCGUACUAUACUCAAAACCCUACUCCAAGAAAAUUAAAGCUUUGAAGAUGCUGAGGGAUUAUCAGCCACCAAAGUUCAUGCAGUUCGAUGGAAAGGGAAACCCGAGCAACAUGUCGCCCAUUUCAUUGAAACCUGCAACAAUGCUGGAACAGAGGGAGACUACCUCGUCAAGCAGUUCGUGCGCUCGCUGAAAGGCAACGCUUUUGACUGGUAUACCGACCUCGAGCCCGAAUCUGUCAAUAGUUGGGAUCAGCUAGAGAGGGAGUUCCUUAACCGCUUCUACAGCACCCGCCGCACUGUAAGCAUGCUGAAGCUGACCAGUAUGAAACAAUGGAAGGAUGAACCUGUCAUUGACUACAUCAAUAGAUGGCGUUCAUUAAGUCUGGAUUGCAAAGAUCGUCUUUCUGAAACCUCCGCCAUUGAGAUGUGCAUUUAAGGCAUGCACUGGAGGUUACAUUACAUCCUUCAAGGCAUAAAACCAAGAACGUUCGAGAAGGAUAAGGUGUUCUUCCCGAAUGGCAACUCGUUCCGACGACAUAGAGCUAAGUAUUGCCAAUCACAGAAAGAAAGAGUCGAUCACUGAUUUCAAGAAGGAUAAGGUGUUCUUCCCGAAUGUAGACAAAACUAGUAAGAAGCCCCUCAAGUAAGCGUUCACCGUCAACACUGCGCCCAUCAAGACCUCCUCCGCGCCUAUCAAGAUCUCUUCCAAAACCAAAACAAAGGAGAUAAAGAGAGGUGAGCCUCCUCGCACCCAAGACAGGUACAAAAACACUUUGAGAGAAUUAGAGCAGAAGGUGUACCUUUUUCCUGACUUAGACAUGGAUGCAAUGUUAGACGACUUGCUAGAAAAGAAGCUAAUCGAGCUACCCGAAUGCAAGCGGCCUGAAGAAAUGAAUCGCGUAAACGAUCUUAAAUACUGCACGUACCAUCGAAUCAUGAGCCAUCCUGUUGGUAAGUGCUUCGUCCUCAAAGAGCUCAUCAUGAAUCUAGCACAACAAGGGCGAAUUAAGCUCGACCUAGAAGACACGGCCACAACAUAUACUACUACAAUUGCAUUUGGAUCCUUUGAUCCCGUGCAUUUCCAAGCGACACUUGACCAUUCUUAUCAAUACUCAAGUUGCACAAUACCUUCUGCACAACCAUCGCCGGGGGCAAACGACCAGAAUGCACUUACCGAUGAUGAAGAAGGGUGGACGUUGGUGACCUAUAAGAAGACGAGGAAGCCAAUACCAUAAGCUAUAAGGCCAAAUGGGGAACAAGUGAGAAAGCACCGUCGCCGCAACAGUAGGAAGCCUAAAAGAAACGUAAAAGUUACUAAGCCAACGUAUGCUGGGGAACCUAUGGAGCAAGAGCCAUGCAUUCUUGUCUCCUUGCGCAAGUACUUCCCGAAUGACUUAUUCCAACAGUGCACUAUCGCUGCAUGUCACAUGAUCGAAGUAGAAAUGGAAGAACCUUUAAAAGGCAAAGCCGUCGCCAUUGAGGGAGAAAUUGCCCUCAUACCUAAAGAAGGCCUACCGAUACACUUUAGCAUCGAGGAAGCGCUAUGAUUGACAAAGAAGGUACGAAGAGCACUGGCAGCGGUCUUGGUAAUUCUCGACGACCAUGAAGUGCAAGAAAGCAAGAACGAAGGCUUAAAGCUUCGGCCACAUGAAUGUGCCACAUGCUGUGUUGCCGAUGACACAAUCCACUUCACCGACGAAGACUUGCUGCUAGGAUCCAAGCCUUACAACCGUUCUUUUUUUGUCUCUGGGUAUGUAAGGGAGCACAAAAUCAACCGUAUGCUUGUGGAUGGUAGAUCAGCCAUAAACAUCAUGCCAAAGUCAACAAUGACUACAAUCGGCAUUAAGGCGGGUGAACUAUCCCUAAGUCGUCUACUAAUCCAAGGUUUUAAUCAAGGAGGACAAAUAGCGAUGGGCAUGAUCCAAGUGGAGAUGACUAUUGGCGAACUAAGUCAAGCACGAUAUUCCACGUGAUUGAUGCAAGAACUUCCUACGACUUGCUCUUAGGAAAGCCUUAGAUCCAUACGAAUGAAGUAGUAUCGUCCACCAUUCACCAAUGCUUAAAAUUUUACCGAGAAGGAGUGAAGGUGAUUUAUGGUGACACCAAACCAUUCACUGAAGUCGAAUCACAUUUCGCAGACGCCAAGUUCUACAUGGAUGAAGAUAUGGUGCCCGAAGCUCUUCCAAAAGAGAUUAAAUCCACGGGCAAAGCAACACCUAAAAAGCAGGAGAAGCAAGAAGGAGAAGUCGUGCCAUCUUCAAGUAAAAACUAUGACGAGCCUACUAAACCUACAACAACCAAAGGGAGUAGAACGCCCUCAAAUGGACCAAACACACCCGUUUUUCGAUACAUCACGAUGUCGAGAAGAAAGAAUGGUCAAUCUCCGUUCGAAACUGGAGCAAGCAAAGUCGAUGCACAGCUAUAGGGAUAAUGUAAAGUUGCUCAAGACGAAUGCAUUUUUGCCUCUGACACAGCUAGGCGACGCUAAGGUUGCAAGAUUACCACAAGGCUUCAUAAAAGCUCUACCAAAGGGGGUGGAACCAAGUUUUCUCCCAACCAAGAGGACCGAAGAAGGUUUUGAUCCAAACACUUACAAACUCAUGUCGAAAGUUGGGUACAACUUCGCUUCUUAUUCGAAUCCUGGAAAGAAGGUUUUAAACACCGUCAACAAUAAAGAAAAUGACCUCACCGAGACUCAAAAUAAGUUGAAAAAGCAUGGUUACGGAGUUAACAACAACAAAGCUGGACUUGGCUUCACACCAAAUGCACCCGUGAAGAUUUCAAACAAAGCGAAAAAUGCUAGCACUUAACACAUCAACGUGAGCAUUUAACAAGAUCAAGAGGAGCCUAAAUCCGCCCUUCGGACGUCAAUAUUCGAUAGGAUGCAUCGUUCAAGACCCAGAACUUCAACACUUAAUCGCAUUGGUGGUCAAAAUCAAACCUCCGUCUUCAAGAGGCUUAACAGGCUAACAUCCUGAAGCUCUGUUUUUGAAAGGUUGUCAAAACCUAAGAAGCAAAGCAACAUGGCUAGCUCUCUUCCUCGUCGGUCAGCUUUGGAAAGACUUGAAGACAACAGGAAGUUUUCUAGAAAUAGGGAGACAACGUCAAAGGAAGACAAGCUCGACAGGCUAGCAGAAAAGGCGAUAUUCAAAGCUCAAUUCCUUCAAGGAUGAAGCACCAAGCAACUUUGGAGGUUGACACAAAUGGACCACUGAAAGUAAGAAGGCGCACCAUCAUCCACACCGGCCAAUCUUCACGCCAACAAAUCUAAAAAGACAAAUAAUAUGAAAUCCCUAAGGAAGACUUCACUUUUGGCUUUUUCGACUCAAAGUCUUCACCUCGAUCGUUGGGGGCAUACUCCAAGUCAAGUGAACUUGAAGGAUGGAGUUAUGUCACUCCCAAGAAACUGCACGAGAAGUAUACGUUUUCUUCACAAGUGCACCAAUCGGAAAGGGGGUAAAGCAGCUUUCGCCAACCUCCAAAGCAAUGUGAAAGUGUUGAGGAUAAGGAAAUUUUGGCACAAAGAUCGUUCAUGCACGAUCUCUUCUUCCUCGAAGAUUUAUUCAAAUACUCGACCAAGGUUCCUUGCUAUGAAGAUUACGAGGAGAGCCUCUCCAAGAUCGCUUCGAAGAAAUUGGACAAGCAGCAACCAUCUCGUUCACAAGUUCAUCAGUCGAAAAGGAGGCAAAACAGUUCUUGUCAACCUCUAGAACAAUGUGAAAGUGUUGGAGAUAAUGAAAUUUCGACACAAAGAUCGUCCACCCCCAUCAUAAUGCUUGAUUUCUUUCCAUAAGACUUCUUCAAUUACUCAGUCAAGGCUCCUUGUUAUGAGGAUUGUGAGGAACGCCUCUCCCAAGUCGCUUGACAAAUCCACAACAACCAAAUGCUCCUUGUUCGCACGAGCCUAAGCUGCACGAACCAAACCUUCUGGCCCGCAAGAGCAUAAACUAUGUACGGAAAAACCAUCAUCAAAAUCACCAUUAAAACCAUAAAAAAAGAAGUAUCUGAACUAUGUUGUGACUUGAUCUCUUCCUUGGAAGAGUAUGGAGGCAACUUGAAACUUCAAAACUUCAAGUACAGUCAUAUCAUCAACAAAAACACAAAAACUUUGAAGAAUAAAAACAAAAAUUCAAAAUAUGAAUACUUUAUUUGUUUAAAGGAAUGAUUUGGUUACAAAGCCGUAUUACAAGGGUGAGCAUUACGCCAACAUCACCACUAAGGAAAGUUAUGACCAAAAGGCACUAUACAGCAUAAACUCGUUGCAGUCUUUUGCACAACCCCACAAGGUAAAGGUGACACAUUGGAACAAGCUCCAAGCAGCAGCGGCAAAAAGCCCAUGGCAAGCAGCAAGGUCAAUGUGCACGACAACGUCCCCACCGAGGAAAGUUGUGACCAAAAUGCACUACACAGCAUAAACUCGUUGCAGUCUUUUGCACAACCCCACAAGGUAAAGGUGAUGCAUUGGAACAAGCUCCAAGCAGCAGUAGCAAAGAGCCCAUGGCAAGCAGCAAGGUUAAUGUGCACGGCAAUGUCCCCACCAAGGAAAGUUGUGACCAAAAGGCACUACAACCCCACAAGGUAAAGGACACACUAGAACAAGCUCCAAGCAACACGGCAAAUAGGGCAGCUACAAGACGGUCCUUCAAAGCAUGUUACAGUAGCAAAGAAACCAAAAUGUCACGCAAUCGCACUACGCAAACCAGCAUCGAUUACACAAGCAGUUUCUUACACCGCAUUAUGACGUCACCACCAAGGGAAAAAUGUGACCAAAAGGCAUUACACAGUGAAGCCCCGUUGCAAUCUUUUGCACAGUACCACACGGCAGCGCACCACCGAGGGAAAACUGUGAUCAAAAGGCACUACACAACGAAACCCCGUUGCAGUCUCUUGCACAAACCCUAGGCAACAGAAAGCACAGAUAUGCCCACGUCCUGCUCACUCCUAAUACCACGUCUCUGAAAGCUUCGUGAGGGUUCCAGCAUCAUGCUCUGCCUUCUUCAAAAUUAAAGAUUCCUAGCAUCACAUCAAAAUUAAAAAAAAAUGUUCUAUUAAAGAAAGUCAAUUUACACUAAAAAUAAAAUAAAAUAAAAUUGUUUCAUACAAAAACAUAAGUAAACCAUUAAAAAAAAAAAUCAGGCCCGUCUCCAUUUCUUUUCGGCCCACAGUAUGGCCCAGCAGCACAUGCUCUCCCCUAACUCUGCCCUUUGUCCUCCUGACCCGAGCCUAUCAUCGGCAAACCCAAGAAUAUAGGCCCAUCAUCUUCCUUAUUCGACUUCAAGCCUUCAUCUCCGCUGGUUUCUCAUGCUCAUCGUCAACAGCUGUAAGAUCACUUCAAGUCAGGCCCAGAACCACAGCCUCAAUCCCCCAUUCUUCCACUUCAUUCCGUGACCUGCAUCUCAACGUCGACUCUCCCUUCACUCAUUAGAUUACGGAGGUCAUAAAUCAGGGGAAAUUGGUGUCUGAUGAGAUUCAUCGAGCGAUUCUGAAUCACCCACAUGACCUGUGCCCCAUCGAUAGUCGUGACUUUGUUGAAACACGAGGACAAAAACGAGAUGGACGUAGAGCCAUAGCUGCAAGAGAUGAAGCCACAUCAGACAGGACCCAACUGUAGUGCACCUCUCUGCUACAAGGCUUCCAUUAACAAACAGCAACCUCUUCACUGCGUUCCACCUUCUUUCUUCGUCUCUCUUAGACGCACAACAAUGGCGUUGCUCACUUCAGGACCAACUGCUCUUGCACCUCCCGCGGUAGCACUGUCAGCCGCAGUACUUAAUCUUCCUCCACCAUAGUCGUUGUACCUCUCCCAGCUCGCCUUCGAAAAGUCAAAGGGUUGGGUCACUUUUGGUUCUCCCCAGUCAACGCUCUACGUAGUGGUUGCGGUUGUGGACAGAGCUCGAGCCAUGGAAGCCCAAACACUCAGUCCACGCUGGCCAUCUAAGAUCUGUUGCAGGCAGCAAGCAAGUCUCUUUGGUCACGUGCGUUUCCUCUCCAACGUCUCUCUUCACAAAUAGCGACAACAGUAGCAGUUGCACGGAAGUUCACAAUCAUCAUCAUAUGUAGGUUGAACUUGAUUUCGAGAGUUUUGGUUGGCUUUUUAAACCGAUGCUAUUUUCGAACAAUUUCACAGGCGGCCUCUUCACUUCUUUGUCAAAAUGUUCGUCUCUGACCAACAAGACAAUAACUUGCUUCAGAUUAUGUACGCCAUGGAAGCUGCACAGGUACAAGCUCCAGCACACUCCGACCGAGACUGUGUCAGAUGGUCAACUGGGUGAAGGUAGUUGUGUCCCGCAAAUGGCUAAUGCAAUGAAGAAAUUGGAAGCUCUUGAGAGCUUUGUGACCCAGGCUAAUCAUCUCCAACGGCAAAAUUACGUCGUGGUCACUGGUUCUUCAUGCUUGUCAAUCAACCACUCCGCCUCCUCUUCGCCUUUCAUCCUCCAUAGCAAUGCACACAUCCAAAAUGCUUGACUCAUCUCCAUUGCCAAGAAUACAUCUGUAACCAAACCUCUCAACAUACUCAGUUUUCUUCCUCCCUGAAAAUACAAACGCCUGACUUUUCUUCCUUGCCAAGAAUACAUCUGCAACCAAACCUCUCGACAUACUCGGUUUUCUUCCUCCCUGAAAAUACAAACGCCUGACUCUUCUUCCUUGCCAAGAAUACAUCUAUAACUAAACCUCUCAACAUACUCAGUUUUCUUCCUCCUUGGAAACACCUCUUUAACCAAAUCACACCAGAGCAAAGGUAUCUCAUAUCAUGCUUUUCCUUUAUCAUUUCCUGUGCCCUUGCUCUUGCCUACAGAACAAGGAGAAAGGAAGCAAUAAGUCGGAACCUGAAAUUAAACGUCCGAUCGGGAACUGAUUGCCCGAAACCUUUGCCUAGUUGCUUACCUAGCAUUGCUCUUGAGUGCUCAUCUUCAACUGUCGACGGGUCUCGAAUUUCCUCAACGAAUACUUCAGGACAGUUGAUAUGAUGUUGGCUCUUUACACUGAAGCUGCUAAGCAUGGAUGAAUCGCUGAGAAGUGAUGCUCCGAAUAACCAUUGAAAGGCAAAAAGUUGCGCACCACUUCUGCCAGGCGAAAGAAACAAGCAGAAGAGAACGUAGCACGAUGAGCUGGAACAAAUCAUUAUAACAGGACACCCUUCUUGGCAGAACUGUAUAAUCUAGACAAAUGAGUCUAAGUCAAAUCCAAGCCCGCCAUCGUUGCUAUAGUAAAAAAGCUCGAUAAGCUUCAACAACCUUUCGCUGGCACUGUCGCCGAAGAGCAAAGUCUCGAUAACUCUUGAAGAUCAUACCGUUCACCAAACUGCUCCGGGUUCAUAUGAAAAUGCUGUGAACUUUUUUGCUCUUUCAAAGCAAAUUCUUUGCAGCAUCUGACCUUAUUCCCUGACCUUCUUUAAUAUGAAUUGGAAAGAUUGAACAAAUAAACAGACCAUCACCUCCAUCUUGUGCUUACUUGCCAUGUGUCCAAAUCCUGAAACUGCUCGUGGUCAUGUUUAAGUUCAAGAUCAAGCCUCGACGGCCCUUGAAGAAAUCACAAGUCCGAUUCAAGAUCAAGUGUCUACCACUCUUGAGUUAAAUCCUUCGAGAUCAAGCCCCAACGGCUCUUGAAGAAAUCAUAAGCCAGAUUCAAGAUCAAGUGUCCACCACCCUUGAAUCAAAUCUAGUUCAAGAUUAAGUCUGUGGAAAGUCCUUUGGAAGAAACCAGAAAAUCCUCCAACCUAGUUCAAGAUCAAAGCUGUGGAAAGUCAAUAAGCGCAACAAAAUACGUGCCGAUUCAUCCAUUACCAAAGCCAAAGAUCAUCUACCACAUGAAGCUUAUUGUGGUCCAAAUUUCAUCCAAGAUCAAGCCUCAACGGCUCUUGAAGAAAUUUCAAACAAAAUUCAAGAACAAGCCUCAAUGGCACUUAAAGAAACUCCCAGCCCAAUUCAAGAUUAAGCCUCAACGGCCCUUGGAUCGACAUCUACAUUAAGGGACUUCAAAAUGCAUCUUCUACACGUGACAAGCGCAUGUAUACAACGCGCCUUGAAGUGGGGGCAUUUGUAUUGAAAUUUCGGUGAAAUAAAUAUUGACAAUUGUAUUAAAAUUACAACCUCCAUUCAUUUCACCUACAUCAUACACUCACCUCACCUACAAUAUCCACUCAAUUCACCUACAACAAUCCACCCAAUCCACUUACAACAUCCACCAAAACAAAAGGAUGGUGGUAAUUCAUUCUCAAAGCCUAUAAAUAGGCCUCCCCAUCAAAGGAUCAAGGGAGGAUUUUACAUACAUUUUCUCUACUCCCAAAUUGGAAGAGAAUUCACAUCACACCAAAGCCUUGAAGCCUCGAAACUCUAAAGCUCUCAAGCAAAUCCUGAAGAAUCAAGAAAGCCCUCUUCGUUCUUCAUCAAAAUCCUCCUUCAAGAUCAAGCCCCAACGGCCCUUGAAGAAACUUCAACUAAUUCAAGAUCAAAUCCCGACGGCCCUUGAAGAAAGUGUUCAUCAUUCAUCAUCCAUUCAUCCUAAAGAUUAAGCCCCGACGACCCUUUGGAUCAACAACAUCAACAAAUCUACCCAUUACAUAGAUAGAAUCAGAGGAUCAAAUUGUAAAAGAUUGUAACGCACAAAAUCAAUACAAAAUAUUAUUUUGUACACGUGUUCUUGUCUCGUUCAUCAUAGGAAUUCCAGUGUUUACAAUGGUAUAAUGAUGUUUGAGUGAAAAGAAUAAACAUUAGGCUCAUUCAUAUCUCUAUCAGUACAAUUAAUUUGAUUAAAUUGUCCACAACUUUCUUACAAUAAAGCUCUAUAUUUCUGUUUAACCGCACUAAAAAACCUGUUUUUCACUCAAGAAUCUUGUCGAACCAUCUCAGCAGUAAUUUUUCGAAAAAAUCACACACAUUUUAAUCUAACACCAACCAAGGAGUUGUCAAAUCAGGAAAAAUCAAAAAGAGAAAAAACUUACCCAAAAAUAACAGGACCGCCGGAACCGUCGGUAAAUCUGAGACUGACCAAGCAAGGAACCAAACAGCAAAAUAUCCUCUUAGCCAGGAAAACUCUAGCACAGGAACAGAGCCAACCCAAAACCAAACAGUUACAAUUCCAUCCAAAAUUAAUCAAAACACAUAAUAAAAAUCAAAACACAACAAUUAGAAAACAUACCUCAGUUGUAGAAAAUUAACUUCCCAGCGAUGCAAAAACAACCGGUGCUCAAACGGAAAACAAAAUCAGAAAUAGAUCCGACCAAAAUCGGUGCAAAUCAGACAUAAACAAACGUAAAAAAUCUCUUGACUAGUCUUGGAAGCUACGAAAUUGAAGAAUCUAUUCCUCAUAUUGAUUCUACUUGAUAUAUCAUUAGUAGGAUCGUGAAAUCAUGAAAUUAUCCAAAAAUCCUAUAUCGUAGAAAAUUGAAAAUUGCAGGUAAUCAAAAGCUCAAGAAUUUUACAUAGAAGAACUAACUUUCAAACAAUUAAAUAUAUAAUUACGGGAGAAAUGAUACUUGUGUAUAGAGGUGUUUCAAUGGAGGGGAGAGAGAGAGAAGCUCCGAAAUCGGGAGGAAGAAGCCGCGAGUAGGUUUUUUAUUUUUAGUUGCUUCGGCAAACGAAGAGGUGGAAGAAAAGAAGAAAAAAGAGAGAAACGAAAUGGAGGGUGAAUCGGUGUUGUAGUUGGUUGCGAGAUAGUGACAGAGAAGUCGAUGGAAAAGAUGAGUCCAAAAGAGGAAAAGAAUAGCAAGGAAGCAGGUGGAACACCCCAGAUUUUUCAGCCUGCUUCCAUUUCACCGAUGACAAACACAUGUAAAACAUGCCGCAAUUGAAAUUAAACAAACCAAGCAGAGGCAAUUUCGUCAGAUCACUGUUACUUUCACUGUUCAUGAACAGUGUUCCACCAAUUUGGGUUUUAUAGAAUAAAUUUAACGUUUAGGAGAACGAUUUUGAUAUGGUGUGAACUCGACAUGGUGAACUUGAUGAGCACGAAAAGCUAGUCGCAGUGCUUCGACAAGUUGACAUUGUAAUAUCUACAUUGUCUAUUCCUCAGCUUAUUCAACAGUUCAAAAUUAUCAACGCCAUCAAAGAUGCUGGCAAUAUAAAGGUGAAAAUAUAUGUGAGAAAUGGUCUUUCGGUUUGAAUGUGAAUCGGAACCAUACAACAACAACAACACAACAACAACAAAGCCUUUUCCCACUAAGUGGGGUCGGCUAUAUGAAUCCUAGAACGCCAUUGCGCUCGGUUUUGUGUCAUGUCCUCCGUUAGAUCCAAGUACUCUAAGUCUUUUCUUAGGGUCUCUUUCAAAGUUUUCCUAGGUCUUCCUCUACCCCUUCGACCCUGAACCUCUAUCACGUAGUCACAUCUUCGAACCGGAGCGUCAGUAGGCCUUCUUUGCACAUGUCCAAACCCAUUUUGUGUACGUGUUGGUGAUUCACCGCCCAACAUUCUGUGCCAUACAACAUCAGAACCAUGAUGUGGAUAUUCUUGGCUACAUUACUUAGUCAAGUUCAUUUUAUAUAUAUGCUCAUGUCUAACUACGUACAAUAUAUACAUAUUGCGAUUGUAAAAUCAGAGAUUUAUUCCGGCAGAGUUUUGAGAUGAUCCAGAAAAAGCAAGCGCGAUGUCGCCUUUUGAGGCGAUACAUGAAAAUAGAAGGGUUAGAGAGGUGACUGAAGCAGCAGGACUUCCGUACACUUAUGUGUGUGCAAGCAUAUUUGCUGCAUAUUUUGUUGAUUAUUUGCUUCAUCCUCAUGAAGAACCUGCGGAAGUCGUUGUUCAUGGGCUGGUGAAGUCAAGGAUAAGCAUGCACGUGGUGCACUACUUUACUUCUGAACCACAAACGCACUAUUUUCCUAGUAGAAUGUUACAAAUUUUUCUUUUAUUUUAUUUUUUUUAAUAUUUAUAUAAAAAUAAUUUACACCGAUUACGUGGCUUGAGAAAUGAAAUGAAAAAUAUUUUUCCCCUGUGAAGUCACCUUCAGCUACAACAAAUAUUGAUCUCUAAGGACUUGUUUGAUAAAUAUUUUGUAUUUAGUAUCUUUAGUUCACAUUUUUUUGGCUAGAAAUUGCAUGAAAGUGUAUGAAAAUAAUAAGGUACGAAGAAAAGAGGAAGGAGGUGUUAGGAUUUUGGCUCGUCAAAUAUGUCCUAGUUGGUUUAGGAUUGUUUUAGGAGACCUAGAGGUAUACCGAUUCUUGUCCUAGAAGGAUUAGGAAAGAAUUUCAGUUUCCUUAUUCAAUUUAGGUUUGGAUUUCUAGAAGUCUAUUUGGAUUUGGAUAAGUGUAAUUUCCUAAUCCACUUAGAAAUAGGAAUUCAAUCAGCUUUGGAACGUGUAAGCCAACCCUAUGUCUAUAAAUAGGGUGCGGCAAGGCUGAUUUUUUAAGAGAGAAAGAAAACAACCAGACAACCAAGAGUUUUGAGAUUAGUUCUAGGGUUUGCAAAAGUUCUGUAAUCUAUAUUAUUAAUCAAAGGAGCGGUGAUUUCUCUACCUAGAGAAAUCACACUGGACGUAGGUAAAAGUUCUGCCGAACCAGUAUAAUUCUUGUGUGUUUCUAAGUUUUCUAAUAUUUGCUAGUUUAGUCUAUUGCCAUUGGUUACAUUAAAGAACAAGGUCUAGUGUGCGGGUUUUUCAACAAUUGGUAUCAAGAGCUAGGAUCAAGGUGUUCUACGAUGUCAAAAGGGAAGAUGAAUGCGGAUCAAGGACCUGCGUUAAAGCCCUUUGACGGCAAGGAUGACUUCACGGACUGGCAAAUGAUGAUGAAGAACGUACUGAUACAACAAGAUUUGGUUGAUGCACUCGAUGGUAAGAAGCCGGAAAACAUGACCAAGGCAUCAUGGACUAAGGUUCUCAAGAAGGCCCAGAGUUCCAUCGAGAUCCAUCUCACAAGAUCAGUUCAGUCACACAUCACCGAAAAGAUGACUGCCCAGGAAGCAUGGGAAAAGUUGGAGAAUGUUUAUAUGGGCAAAACCGUGUCUAAUAAACUUUUUCUAAAGGAUGAACUAUUCGGGCUUCGACUAGAAGAAAGAGGUGAUAUUGAAGAUCAUGUAUGCAGGUUCCAAAAUUGCAUAGCUAAUCUUCAGAAGGUCGAAUAAACUUACAAAGAUGAUGAUAUGGCUAUCAUCUUGCUGAGGUCUCUACCUUCGUCUUUCAAGCACUUUCGAACAACUCUAAUGUUUGGAAAAGAGUCCCUGAAGCUUGAAGACAUAAUUCAAGCUCUUUAGUCAUAUGCUAAAUUGGAUGAUAUAACUAAAAGCUCUUAAGGCCUUUAUGCCAAAGGUAAGGAGAGAGGGCGGGAAAAGACAAAGGAAGAGAAAAUCGGCAAUAGAGGUAGGUCAAAAUCCAAGAAGAAAAAGGAAAAAAAGGAAGGUUGCUUCGAAUGUGGUUCAGCUGAUCAUUGGAAGAGGAACUGCAAGAUUUGGAAAGAGAAGAAAGCCAAGAUGGAAUGAAACUUAGGUUCAGCUAGUGCAGUCACUGAGCAUGAGAGUGACGGGGAGCUUCUUUCAAUAACAUCAGGCUUCAAAGCUUUCACCAAUUGGAUUUUAGAUACCGGAUGUACUUUUCAUAUGUGUGCAGUAAAGGAAUGGUUUGAUACUUAUAAAGAAGUCAGCAGCUGGGAAGUCUUAAUGGGGGACGAUUCUUCAUGUCCUGUAAGAGGAAUCAGCACUGUUCGAAUCAGAAUGUUCGAUGGAAUGAUACGAGCUUUGGGGAACAUUAGGUAUGUCCCUAGACUAAGAAAGAAUUUGAUUUCCUUGGGUACUUUAGAUCAGGCCGAUUAUGAGUACAAGUCUAAAAAAGGAAGACUCAGGGUAACCAAAGGAUCGCUAGUGGUAAUGUGGGGUAACCUACAACCUAAUAAGUUGUAUAAGUUAAUUGGGACCACUUGAAGGAAGAUUUUGUGAAAACAUGUUCAUUUAAGCAACAUCUAUUAGCAUGCAAUUAACAAUUAAAGGCGGAAUCAUGCUAGCAUGCACUUAAAAACAAAACAUUAACCAAGAAAUUCAAAGUCUAGUAGAUUGGUGAACCAAGACUCAACUCAAAUCAAAGUGAGUUGAGAAAUUUAUACCUUUGUAGAUUCCUCUUUGCAUAAGCAAAGGCUAAUCACCCAAAGAGAGGGCCUUCAUUCCUUGCUUCUUAGAUCCAUGGAUUUGGAUGGAAGAAUAGAUUCUCCAAGUUCCCAAAAUUGAGAACCUCUAAGUUUCCACACCAAGGAUGGAUUGAUGAAGAAAUGAGUGACCUAGAGGAAGCAAGAUUGCUAGUUAAUUUCCUCUAGGGUGGCCGGCCUCUUUAGAGAGAAAAGAGAGCUUUGUGUUCUCAUCUUUUCUCCAAAAGAAACCCCUUAAUGAAUUUAGGCUAUAAAGUCCUUUUAUAUAGUCCCUUCAAAUAAGUGACCUAAAGAACCAAAAAGCCAUUCUUCUAACAUGGCCGGCCACAAGGGUUUUAUUGGGCUUUUGGGCCUUUGUGAAUAAGUUGUCAUACAACUUAAGUCAACGGGCUUGACGUUCGAAGCCCAUUGGGCCUUGAGGCCCAAAACUAACCCGUGGUCUUUUAACGAACUUAUUCGUUUGAUUAAUUAACAUAUUAAUUAAUCCUUGCCAUAAAUAAUUAAACCAUUUAAUUAUUCUUACUCAUCUCCGUUGUUUCUUCAAUCUUUACCUUACACGGUGUACGAUCCAUUAGGUUCCUUUUAGCGAGGCAGUGGGCGAUUAGAACUCUUUCAAACGGAUUGUGAAUUGAAACUUACUUUCAAUUCUCCUGUUAGUGAUUAUACACGUUUAGGGCUUCCACAAACCAUGAGUGACACCUAGCAGCAUAUCAUGGUUACCCAAGCUAAUCAGAAGAGGUGGAGAACCUAUUCAGUUUAGGAUUACAAAUGCAAUACGGUCUUUCUCUAAUACAAUACUCUUGACCACAUUGUUUGGUUUAAUAGUUUAUUCAUGUCUACUAUCCAAUGUGAUUCGUUUACUUGUAUGAUUACCUUGAAUGUGAUUUGGAACGCCUUCCUAAAUCUCAUUCAUACUCUGAUAAGAGAUUUUCAAUCAUAUCAUAGAGUAUUCUCCCCCAAACGGUUUGAAGGUUAGAGAUCCCUUGUUGCGCAUUCAAUUGCCUCCAUGGCUAAGUGGCUUAACCCCAACGAUGCCGUGGACAUCCGCGGAUGGGGUGACUUUGACAUAAUCAAAGAUCAAGGACUUAACCACAAGACAACUGUGAUGCCUCAGGUCAAAGGACUACUUUGCAUUAUCCCAACCAUGAGUUCUCAUGUGACAUAAACAUGAGAACUCUUCGUUGAUCGUGUUCAGUGAACUCAUUCUCUAUUGAGCACCUACGUACUUGUCUUGAUGUCACACACACCAAUGACUCGAGACUAGUCACUCUCCCUGAGAGAAGACACAGCACGUACUGAUCUUAACGGACUGUCAAUGCCCAAUUGGCAAUCCUAUGAUCAGGAACGUUUAGGAUGUGUCUACGAAAGAAUGGUCUCAUGAAUCUAACUUCUUUAGAUUGCAUUCUCCCAAUCACAUAUUCCUUGGACUUAUCGUUUAAGCAUAUAACAUUUAUAUGAGACGGCUCAAACAAUAAUCUUUGCCCUUUAUAUUUAAACUACAUUAGUUUAACAUGUGAAAUGUUCGUAAAGUAUCAUCAUAUGAUUGGUUUUAGGGCACAUUUCCAACACCACUAUAGUCGGGGGAGCAGUUGUUUCUAUAAAUCAGAGUGUAGAAGACAAGACUGAACUCUGACAUCAUAGGCUUGGGCACAUAAGCCUAAAAGGGUUGCAAGAAUUACACAAGCAAGGCCUGUUGGAAGGCAUGUCAUCUUGCAAACUAGACUUUUGUGAAUACUGUGUUCUCAGAAAGCAAAGAAAGGUAUCAUUCGCAAGUAGCAGUGUAGAUAACCGAAGCAAAGAGCAACUCAGUUAUAUUCACUUAGAUGUUUAGGGCCCUGCACCAACUAAAUCAAAUGGUGGAGCUAGGUAUUUUGUUACUUUCAUGGAUGAUUUUUCUAGGAAGGUUUGGGUUUAUUUCAUGAAGCAGAAAUUCGAGGUUUUUGCAAAGUUCAAGGAUUGGAAAACAGAAACUGAGAAUCAAACUGGAAGAAAGAUCAAGUACCUGAGAAGUGACAAUGGAGGUGAAUAUACAAGUAAUGAGUUCACCGAUUACUGCAAGCAGGAAGGCAUCAUAAGGCACUUCACAGUAAAGAAGAAUCCCCAACAAAAUGGAGCUGCUAAGAGGAUGAAUCGAACUCUCAUAAAGAUAGAGAUGAGCAUGCGAUUACAUGCAGGAUUGCCUGAUAGUUUUUGGGCAAAGGUUGUUAAUCAUGCAAGUUAUUUGAUUAACAGGUCACCAUCUACAGUUCUUGGUUUUAAAGAGUGCAUAAGAGGUAUGGUCUGAGAAGCCGGUGGACUAUUCCAAGCUCAGGGUGUUCGACUGUAGUGCUUAUGCACAUAUUCCAAGUGAUGAAAGGUCCAAGCUCAAACCGAAGUCUACACAUUGCAUAUUCUUAGGUUUUGAGAAAUGAGUUAAGGGUUUCAAGCUUUGGGAUUUCAACAACAGGAAAAAGGUUAUCAGUCGAGAUGUUGUCUUUGAUGAGACAACCAUGCCUCUUAAUAAAGUCGAGAGCAGUAGGGAGAAGACGGAUGAUGCUGAAAUUGAAGCAACAAAUAUUCCAUUAACCAAUUCAAAUGAAGAAAAAGCUCAUGUGGAGCAAAUCGAGCAAGAGGCCGAAUCUAAUGGUUUUGAGGAAGAAUAAGAGCAUCAGCAUCGUUCACCAGUUAGGAAUCAGGUGGAGCAAGAAAUAGGGCAGAUUAAAGGCACUUCAAUCAUCCAGACAUCCCAAAGGGUUCGAAUUCCAACCAACAAUCCACCUGCAUUCCAGAGAUGCAUAGCACUAGAAAAACCUAAUCAAAACAAGAAGAAGCCUGAUAGAUUUGGGUUUGACCAAGACGAAGUUAAUUAUGCUCUUAACAUUAGUCAAGAAGAUCCAAUUACUUAUCGAGAAGCUAUAGCUAAUGAUGAGAGAGAUAGUUAGAUAAGUGCUAUGACAGAAGAAAUGGAGUCUCUUUACAAGAACUCUGUUUGGGAGUUGGUUCCUAAGCCCAAAGACAAAAAGCUAGUUGGAUACAAGUGGGUAUUUAGGAAAAAGAAAGGACUACAUAAACAAGAUGCCGUGAUAUUCAAAGCAAGGCUUGUGGCUAAGGGGUACUUACAAAAGGAAGAGGUGGAUUAUGAUGAGAUCUUUUCACCUGUAGUCAAGCAUACUUCUGUCAGAUUGCUUUUAGCUAUAGCAGCUCAGCAUGACAUGUAGAUUGAGCAGAUGGAUGUGAAGACAACAUUUCUUCAUAGAGAUCUAGAGGAGACGAUUUUCAUGGCUCAACCAGAAAGGUUUGUUGAAUAUGGGAAAGAGAAACUAGUAUGUCAGCUAAGGAAGUUCCUGUAUGACCUGAAAUAGUCUCCAAGACAGUGGUACAAGAGGUUUGAUUCAUUCAUGCUGAAAAUCAAUUUUAGAAGAUGUUUAUAUGACUGUUGCGUGUAUUAUCAGGUGUUCCAAGAUGGGAUGAUCAUAUUUUCUAUAUGUGGAUGACAUUCUAAUUGCUUGUCAAGACAAGUCUAGAAUUCAAGACUUGAAAAAGAUGUUAAGCAAGGAGUUUGAUAUGAAGGAUCUAGGUGCUGCACAAAAGAUCCUUGGCAUGGAAAUUUAGAGAGAUAGAACCGCUGGAAGGAUCUGGAUAUCACAAGCCAAGUAUAUUAAGAAGGUUCUUGAGAAGUUCAACAUGCAAGAAGCAAAGGUAGUUUCGACUCCUGGCGGCUCACUUCAGGUUAUGUGGGCAACAGUGUCCUACAUCCGAAGAAGAGCAACAAGUAAUAAAGAAUGUGCCUUAUGCUAAUGCAGUGGGCUGCCUCAUGUAUGCAAUGGUAUGCACACGUCCCGACAUAGCUCAAGCAAUCAGUGUCGUUUCCAGAUACAUGGCAAAUCCAGGAAAGCAACAUUGGGAUGCAGUCAAGUGGAUUUUGCGUUAUUUGAAGGGUUCUUGGAGAUAAAGGAUUAUGUUUGAGAAGCAAAAAGAAAAUGCAGGGGUGUUAGGAUAUGUGGAUGUAGAUUAUGCAGGGGACUUAGGCAAGAGAAUGUCAACUUCUGGUUAUGUGUUUACGUGUGUAGGAAGACCAAUCAGUUGGAGGGCAUUACUGCAACCAAUUAUAGCUUUGUCGACCACAGAGGUAGAGUAUAUUGCUUUGGCCGAAGCUAGAAAGGAAGCGAUUUGGCUUAGUGGCUUGGUAAGUCAAAUGGGAAUCACUAAAGAUUGAGUAAAGCUGAAGUGUGAUAGUCAAAGUGCCAUUCACUUGGCAAAGAAUCAGGUUUUUCUGGAAGAUCAAAGCACAUUGAAGCAAGUUAUCACAGAAUCAGAGAUUGGGUAGAGUCUAAGGAAAUUUGGAUUGAAAAGGUUCAUACGGAUGACAAUGCUGCAUAUUUCCUUACAAAGAUAGUGCCGGCCAAGAAGUUCAAGCAUUGCUUGAACUUGAUCAAUCUCGUUGAUUGAUUAAGGAGAAGCACCUCCUCACUUGAGGUGCAAUGAGGCAAGAAAAAGAUUGCCAAGGUGAAGACUCUUGAAGAUUUUCAGAGCUGCUUCAAGAAGGUUCAAAGAUACUCUGGGGUGCAACGAUCAAGACUUGGUUUGACUCACCAAGGUGGAGAUUGUUAGGAUUUUGGCUCGUCAAAUAUGUCCUAGUUGGUUUAGGAUUGUUUUAGGAGACCUAAAGGUAUACUGAUUCUUGUCCUAGAGGGAUUAGGAAAGAAUUUCAGUUUCCUUAUUCAAUUUAGGUUUGGAUUUCUAGAAGUCUAUUUGGAUUUGGAUAAGUGUAAUUUCCUAAUCCACUUAGAAAUAGGAAUUCAAUCAGCUUUGGGACAUGUAAGCCAACUCUAUGUCUAUAAAUAGGGUGCGGCAAGGCUGAUUUUUUAAGAGAGAAAGAAAACAGCCAGACAGCCAAGAGUUUUGAGAUUAGUUCUAGGGUUUGCAAAAGUUCUGUAAUCUCUAUUAUUAAUCAAAUGAGCGGUGAUUUCUCUACCUAGAGAAAUCACAACUGGACAUAGGCAAAAGUUCUGCCGAACCAAUAUAAUUCUUGUGUGUUUCUAAGUUUUCUAAUAUUUGCUAGUUUAGUCUAUUGUCGUUGGUUACAUUAAAGAGCAAGGUCUAGUGUGCGGGUUUUUCAACAGGAGGUAGGAAUGAAGUAGAAUGUAUGAAACAGAUAUUGUCGAUAAUCACAAUUAUUGACUAUUCAAAUUAAAUGCUCAAUGUCUAGCUUGAGACUCGAAGACGCAUCUUAGUCGAACGGGAUUAUUUUUUCUUGUUUCCACAAAAAAAAAAGGUUAUAUUGUUGAAUUCAUUUUUCUUACGUAGGAAAUAUACAGUUGAAAAACAAAUAUGCAAAAAAUAAUUUUUUUUCUUUAUGUUCUUUGUUCUCUUAUUUUGGAUGUCUAUAGUUGUGUUGAAUUAGAGCAGCUCCACCAGAGCUGAUAGCCUGAUAGAUUGGCUAUCAAACAAUGCAUCCCAAGUAAGAAGGUCCAGCCCAAGCUGGUGAUUGAGCCUAAGGGGGCCCGAGGGAGAGGCUCGGCGAAAGUAGUUGGCCCGAGAGCCCGAUGCCCAGGUGAUGCAAGGUUGACGUUAGGCAACAUCAGCUACGUUUUCUCUCUUUUUUAUGUCAGGUGCGUGCACUUCAAGCUCGCGUCAUCCAACACGGUUUCAGACGUGGGGCCCGUGACGCUUUUCUGAAAUGUUACCAUUGGGGAUGCCACGUGGCUUCCAUACGUUCGUUGGAUUUCAACGACAACAUUUUAUGGACCGUUGGAUUUCCAACGGUAAUUUUUUUUAAAACCUUAUUUAAUUUCAACCGUUGGUUCCACGUUAUUCGCCUUUAUAAAUUUAAAAAAAAAACAGUUUAAAAUUUUGAAAUCUUACCGUUGUGCCACGUGGCACAAUCUGGAGUGUUGGAAAUCAAUUUUUUUAAUCCAACGGUAGAGAUUUAUUAUGUGAAUAAAAAAAAUUUAAAAAAUGUAAAAAAUUCAAAUAAAUUCAAAAAAAAAUUAUUUUACUUUUCUAUAAAUACCUUCUCAUUAUCUUCUACCUUACACUACAAUUUCAUAUUUUCUCAACUACUUUCAACCCCAUUCCUAUCUUUCUCUCAAAGUUUCAAUCCCAUUUUUUUCCAUCAAAAUGACUAAUGAUGCAGGUACGAAUUGGACGCUUAUUGAAGAUGUUACGUUGUGUACUAGCUGGGUUGAAGUUACUCAUGAUCCGAUUACGGGUAAUGAGAUGCAGUUGUGAGAAAUGUGGAGUCUUAUUCAUACUAAUUAUCUUGGGAAAAUUGGUGGGAAAAGAAUCAAAGAAUCGAUGUCCAGUCGUUGGAGAAUACUCAGCCAAUCGUUUAGUAUGUGGAGAGACGCCUUGGCACAAGCUAGUAGUAAUCUUCGAAGUGAGGAAAAUUUAGCGGAUCAGGUAACAAUAUAUUAUUUAUUUGUUUGUACUAUACCCAAAUUUACAUUAGCUACUUUGAUUAUAAUUAUUUCCUCUCCCCCAUUGUGUGGACAUUUCAAGCACAAGCCUGGUAUAAUGCCAAAUCCAAAAACAAAAAGCAAUCAUUCACCCGAUGGGAAUGUUGGAAUGUUGUCAAAGAUUGUCCUAAAUUCAGAGUUGUGUCUGUCGGUCCAGAAGUCAUCAUGAACAGCACCCUUUUACAGUCUAAGCCCGAUCAUGCCUCGUAUGUUCCUGAUGAUGAUGUAGAAGAAGUGCUGGAAACGCCCCCUGAACAAGCGUCAGGGUCAACCUGUUAUCCAAUUAGGCAUCAAAGUAAGAAGGCUUCAAAGAGAAAAAGGAGUGCUUCCAAGAAUGAUUAUGCAAAGUAUAUGGAAGAACUUGCUCGCCAAGGUGAACUGACUUUUGCACGAGAAAUGGCAAAACUUGAGGUUGAUAAGGCUAGAGAUGAGGCAAAAGUUGCAGCUGUUGAGAAAGAAUUUCAAGCUAAUGAGAGAGAAAAAGAGCUGCUUAGGCAAGAAAGGGAAGAGAUUAGAGAAGAAAGAAGGGCUCAACGAGAUUGUGACAUUAUGAACAUGCCUUUAGAAGGGAAGUCUCCGAAUUCUAAAUAUUUUUUAGAAUUCUGAGAAAGCAGACGUGGUGUGAAGAAGGCGUGCAAGAGAAGCGAGAGCAAGAGGAGAUGGUCCUAGCACCACAAAUUGGUUAAGUGAUGAUUUUCCAUUCACGAGCCCAUAAUUUUCCAAUCACUUUGUUUGUAAUCGGAGCCUAUAAUUUGCCAAUCACUUUGGGUUGUAAUUUCUUAUUUAUUGAAUAUACUACUUUAUUUAAACUAAGAGUAUAUUUAUUUAAUUUGGUAAUGUGUUUAAACUAAGACAAUCUUUAUUCAAAGGACAUAAACACACCAAAUAAAAACAAACACACUAAAUGAACUUAAAAAACACACCAAAUAAAAUUAAACAAACACACCAAAUAUAAACAAACACACUAAAUGAACUUAAGUAUCUUGAGCUUGUUUCAAUUCCCACUGGUGCUCUAUCAAGUCAAUUUGCCGAGCAUUGUGCAUAUAUGGCUCCUAAAGUGCAGUAUAUUGUUGAAUAAGCCAUUCAUUAUAACGUCCAUCCCUUUCUAAUGGCUCGUGUUGCACGGGUUCUUCGGUGGCGUCAUGAGCACAAUAUAUUUGUGUUCUGGAAUUGUUCAUCGUGUCUAGCUCAUAUUCAUCAACGACAUCAUAAUCGUACUCAUCUUCCACAAUUAUGUUGUGAAGAAUGAUGCGCAUCAUCAUGAUGGAUCAAAGCGACUCUAAAUCAAACAUUUUGGUAAUACCUCUGACAAUCGCCCAAUGAGCUUGGAGGAUACCAAAACAACGCUCUACAUUCUUCCUGCACCCUUCUUGACAGCUUGCAAAGUGUUUUUCCUUUGCACUUCGCGGACAUGGCACUGUUUUGACAAAUGAUGACCAUCUUGGGUAAAUGUCGUCUGCUAGGUAGUAUGGCCCAUAUUACUUAUGUCCGUUGACCCAAUACGUGACUCUUGGUGCUUUUCCUUGCAGGACAUCAUGAACACUGGGGAUUAGGCAAGGACAUUGAGGUUGUUUGUACCAUACUUGACCAAUCCCGAAACUACUGAGCACCGGUCAACGUUAUACCGUCAAGGACCCAGAAGAGUUUCCCUUUAACCAGGAGGCCAAUCACAAUGCGACACGUGUCGACAUCAGAAGCCAAUCAUAGCGCGACACGUGUUAACAUCAGAAGCCAAUCACAACACGACACGUGUCAAUGUUAGAACAAAACUAGAAACUUUCUUCUAUAAAUAGGGAUCAUUCUCCCACAAUAAUCUCUAUUGUCAUUUUGUACUAAACUAUUCACUAGAACUCACAAAAUGAGAGCUUGAACCUAUGUAUUUGUGUAAACCCUUCACAAUUAAUGAGAACUCCUCUACUCCGUGGACGUAGCCGAUCUGGGUGAACCACGUACAUCUUGUGUUUGCUUCCCUGUCCCUAUUCAUUUACGUACUUAUCUUCGCUAAUGAUCGAAGCAACCAAGCGAAGGUCACAAACCUGACACUUUCUGUUGUACCAAAGUCCUCGCUGAUUUUGUGCAUCAACAUUUGGCGCCGUCUGUGGGAAAGACACUUACUCCCACUCUCUUCAGCUUUGUUAAGCUGGUUUCCACCUCCCGUACACUUUUCUUUGGCCAAACAUCUCUCUCCAACAUGGGGAGCGAAAGAAGCCAUAGCACACAGAAUGACACCCCCAUUGGACCUAGUAUGAAGCAACGAAAGCAGGAAGGAAAUAGAGUUAUUUUUCAAGCUAAAGUCGAUGAGUUAGAAGCUCAGAACAACAAGAUAGUGAUGAGGAACGAGGUCCUCCAGGAGCAGUAUGAAAAACUUUUCGAGAUGCUUCACGAGGCUAGGCAUGCUCAAGCACACAAGCUCGUCGCCCCUGCUGAGGUCAACAAUCAUCUGAAUGCCCCCCAACACGGAGGGUCACCGAUAUCCAACACGGACAUCCCUGAUAGGGAUCGAGCUACACAUCAAUGUGAUAAUCAACAUGAGACUUCUCUCAACCCAGCUGCUUUAACCCGAAGCAGAAGGAGUAGAGGAAAGCACCUCCUCACAGAAGGAGUGGAAGGAUCAAAAGCCGUCUAUCGCGAUUGUCGAGACUUCCUAAAGCAAUGUCGAGAGAUCCCAUCCACAUAAGCUCGAAGAUCAAUGACCCAAGAGUUUCUGAAAGACUCGGUCCUCUCCCAAGACCCAGGCCAGCAGUUAAUCUAGGGAAUGGGCAACAAGUCCCAGAAGAACAUGAAGGUACAGGGGACUCGGAAAUGUUCCGACAUACUCACUAUAGGAGUCAGUGUGACGAGUCCAAGGAAAAAUCAUGCUAUCUUGAUCAAACUUUCCUACUUCCAAGAGGCGAUGGGGACUUAUGGAAGAAAACUCCAGUGAUGCACGACUCCACUCAGGACCCCCUCGUCCUACAGCUCCUGGAGGAAGUAAACAAGUUGAAGCUGAACGUCAAACCGAGAUACCUGACUGGAACCAACCCAGGCCUGGCCCCCUCACAAGAAGGAUCCUCAACACCCCCCUCAAAGCGAAGACAAAGUAGAAGCUUGACUUACAACUCUAUACUGGAAGGGAAGACCCGAUUGAACACCUUAACCUCUUUGAGUCCACCAUGGUAUACCGGAAACACACCGAUGAAGAACGGUGCCUUCUCUUCCCCUCCACCCUCUCUGGCGGAGCUUUAAACUGGUAUUGCCGUCUUCCACCUGAGACGGUAGACUCAUUUGAAAAGUUGAGGAAGUUGUUUGUCUCUCAACACAUCUUCCAGACUGAUCACUUGCAUUCCGCAGAUGACUUGUACACUAUUCGCCAGAAGCCGGACGAGUCAUUACGAAAGUAUGCUGGCCGCUUCAGCCAUGAGUAUUGCCACUACGCUGAGGCAGAUGACAAGACUGCCCUCAAGGCCUUCAUGGCAGGCUUACGUGACUGUUUCUUCAAGUACAUGAUCAAUGCCAACACUUGGAAGACUUACUCUGAAGUGAUGGCACAAGCUUACAACCAUGCCUCUGCCGAGACAAUGACAUAUCAAGGGAAACCCCCUACAGUCACCCCUUAUCAGCAAGUAGGGAGUGGAGGCCAGAUCCAACCGAAUGAAAAGACCUCAACCUUCCAAACGGUAGCAGCACACCCCCCGACCUCAUUUAAUGCUUCGCCAAGUCAGCAGACAUAUCAAUCCCAGGGCAAAAGGAAAGAUUUCCAUCCUUACCAAUCUCAUUUUAAUAAAAAGAAUAAGAGGCACUAUCACGAUAACUCAGUAUAUCGUCACAAUAACACCCAUCCCCAGGCAGUCAACGCAGUGGGCCAAUCGCGUGUCAAGACAGGCCCUACCCCGAGGUAUGAGACAUACACACCUUUGAACGCUACAUGCGCGGCCAUCUACCCCAGUAUAGCUUACCUGAUACCAAAGCUAAAGCCAAGGCAGCCAGAUUACAAGUCCACGAAGAACACGGGCGUGUUUUGCUGCUACCACGAGUAUAAUGGCCAUGACGGCGAGAAGUGCAUCAUCCUCCAUGAUCAUAUCGAAGCUUUGGCACGUGAAGGAAAAAUUGAUCAGUUCUUCAUUCACCCUCCAAGGGAUAACCGUAACCAACGCCAGGUGAAUGUGAUAUACUCCAUAAGCGGCAACACACCCAUGUCUAAAUCUUCCAAUAGGGCCAUGAAAAACAGUGAACGAACUUUGAGACAUGGCCAUCAAGUGUUUCACGUGGAAGACAUCAGGGGAGGCAAGUAUCAAAAACCUAACUGGGAUCCAAUAUGUUUCUACCCUGAGGAAGAAAGAGGUAUCAUCUACCUCAAGGCCAUGGUAUCCACACAUAUGAUGUUGAUGAAGUUUCCAACCCCUUUCGGCAAUGGAUACAUCAGGGGAGAUCAACUUAGUGCUUGAUCAUGUUACAACACUUCAGUUAAGCAACAACACCUGCCUGUCCUCAAGGAGACCCUCCCUAUACAUAACUAGGUAGUAAAGACCAGUCCAGAUGAAGCCAACUCGGAUCUUCAUGAUGGCAACAGUCAACCUGACGACCCUCGAGAUGACUCAUUCACCCAGCAAGCACAACCCGCUGAAGAGUUAGAGAAUGUCUCUAUCUCCAAAGACCAUCCAGAUCGCAUGGUGAAGAUUGGCACCACUUUGUCACCACCCCUUCGGUUGUCGCUGAUCUCCUUUUUGCAAGAGAAUGUCGAGGCAUUCGCUUGGUCAUAUAAAGAUAUGCCGGGCAUCUCUCCCGAUAUCAUCUGUCACCACUUGAGUAUUGAUCCCAAGACCAAACCAGUAAAACAGAGGCGAAGAUCUUAUGAUGUUGAACGAUACGAGGCGAUGAAAGCAGAAGUUGAAAAACUCAAGGACAUAGGUUUCGUCCGUGAAGUCAAUUACCCAACAUGGGUAGCAAAUGUUGUCCUUGUUAAGAAAAAUCCGACCAAGGAAAGUCUCCUGCUUCAAAAGGCCUUGUGGAGAAUGUGGUCGACUACACCGACCUAAACAAAGGAUGCUCGAAGGAUAGUUUCCCCCUUCCUCUCAUUGAUAGACUUAUAGACUCUACGACAGGGUGUGAGCUCUUGAGCUUCAUGGACGCUUAUUCAGGAUACAACCAAAUCCUCAUGAACCCCUCAGACCAAGAACACACAGCCUUCACUACUGACAGAGGACUAUAUUGCUACAAAGUCAUGCCUUUCGGCCUAAAGAAUGCAGGAGCAACUUAUCAGAGACUGGUCAAUUCAAUGUUCGCCGAACAGAUUGGGAAGAGCAUGGAAGUUUACGUUGAUGAUAUGCUAGUCAAGAGCAAACAUGCUGACCAACACAUCACCACCUAUCUGAAACUUUCACCAUUCUAAAGAGGUAUCGAAUGAGGUUGAACCCCAACAAAUAUGCCUUCGGCGUGGGAUCUGGCAAAUUCUUAGGCUUCAUGAUUAGCCAACGAGGCAUUGAAGCUAACCCCGAAAAGAUCAAAGCAAUCCUCGACAUGAAAGAGCCAGUAACUUCAAAAGACAUCCAAAGCCUUACUGGCAAGGUGGCAGCCUUAACCAGAUUCAUCUCUAAGGCCACAGACAGAUGUGCUCAUUUCUUCAAAGCACUCAAGGGAAAUAAGAAGUACAUUACAUGGACGGAGGAAUGUGCCAAGGCAUUCAGGAACUUCAAAGAGUACAUGAGUAAAGCCCAUCUGCUCUCCAAACCAGAAGUUGGUGACACUCUCAUUAUCUAUCUAUCGGUCUCGACUUCAGCAGUCAGUUCUGUUCUUAUCCGAAAGGACAGUGGUGUCGAACGACCUGUCUACUACGCUAGCAAGGCCCUACAAGAUGUGGAGACACGAUAUUCCAACAUUGAGAAAUUAGCUCUAGCAUUGGUCAUGUCUGCUCGAAAACUUCGCUCUUAUUUCCAAGCACACGCCAUCAUCGUGCUUACCAAUCACCCUCUUCGAUAGAUACUCCAGAGUCCUGACACGUCUGGGCGAAUGAUCAAAUGGGCAAUAGCAUUGGGUGAGUUUGACAUCUCCUACCAACCAAAACCAGCCGAAAAGGGUCAAGCAGUAGCAGAUUUCAUCGCCGACUUCACAUAUCCUGUUGACAUUGCUUCUACACCUAAAGCAAUAGCUUCAUUACCAUCGGAAGCUCAGAAGACAGAAUCAACAACCCCAGCAUGGAGUCUGUAUGUUGAUGGCUCAUCCAACCAACAGGGAUGCGGAUCAGGAUUAGUCCUCACUACCCCUGACAAAGUGGCGAUAGAAUACGCUCUUCGUUUCAAAUUCAAGGCAUCGAACAACGAGGCCGAAUACGAAGCCCUUCUAGCAGGCUUACGUUUGGCCAAGCAUCUUAAAGUUAAACAAAUUGAUAUCUUCAGUGACUGCCAAUUAGUGGUCAACCAAGUCACGAACAACUUUGAUGCUAAGGAUAACUCUAUGGCAGCAUAUCUUGCGCAAACACGACUUUUGCUCAAGCACUUCCACUACCAGAUCACCCAAGUUCCUCGAGCGGCAAACAGUCAUGCAGACGCUUUGGCCCGCCUCGCCUCGACAGUGGAAGACAAGAUUGGGAGAAAAAUUCAUGUCGAAUUGUUGGCAGCACCAAGCACCAUGGUCGCAGAAGUGUGCAAUUUACAACAAGGAGAUAGUUGGAUCACCCCAAUUUAUAAAUUCCUUGCCCAUGGCACCCUUCCAAAUGACAAAGUCCAAGCUAAGCAGAUUCGAUACAAGUCUGCUCGCUACCUGAUCAUUAAUGACCAACUCUACAAGCGCGGUUUUACCCUGCCCUACCUAAGAUGCCUUACACCUGCGGAGGCGGAAAUUGUCCUUAGGGAAAUACAUGAAGGAGUCUGCGGAGAUCAUGCUGGGUCUCGAUCCCUAGCACACAAGACUUUUCGCCAAGGAUACUAUUGGCCAACACUCCACCAAGAUGCCAUCAGAAUAUCUCGCUCAUGUGAUAAGUGUCAACGCUAUGCAACUAUCCUUCACUCCCCUCCCGAGCCGCUCACUCCUAUGAUCAGCCCUUGGCCCUUCGCCCAAUGGGGACUUGAUUUGAUCGGCCCAAUGCCUACAGGGAAGGGCAAGGUCCGCUAUGCAAUCGUUGCAGUUGACUACUUCACAAAGUGGGCUGAAGUAUAACCCUUGGCAACCAUUACUGAGGCAAAAAUAGAAGACUUCGUAUGGAAGAACAUCCUCUGCAGAUUCGGCAUUCCCAAUGCGAUAGUCACCGACAAUGGGCGGCAAUUCGACAACAAGAACUUCAGGAUGUUCUGCUCUAAGUUCAACAUCAACUUAUGUUUUGCCUCUCCAGCCCAUCCUCAGUCUAAUGGACAAGUCGAGGCCGUUAACAAAAUAAUCAAGCGCACUCUGAAAACUAGCUUGGACAAAACUAAAGGUUGUUGGCCAGAAUUCGUACCCCAAGUUUUUUGGUCAUACCGCACUUCAUAUCGGACUUCCACAGGAGAAACUUCAUUCUCACUUGCUUUUGGUACAGAAGCAGUUGUCCCGGUUGAGCUUGAGCAAGCAACAUACAGAAUCCAGAACUACAUGCAGAGUGAAAACGACAAACAACUCACUCUCAACCUGGAUCUAGUCGAGGAACAUAGAAAUCAGGCUCACCUGAGGAAUAUCGCCUACAAGCAGCGCAUCUCCAACUACUACGACUCAAGGGUCAAACCUCGCUCCUUCAAAGUGGGAGACUGGGUACUGAAGAAAAGAUUACUCUGUGAUAGAGUCCCGAAUGAAGGAACACUCAGUCCUAACUGGGAUGGACCGUUCGAGGUCGUCGGCAUCAGUCGCCCUGGCUCCUACAAGCUCAGAAGCUCCGACGGUAAGACUCUUGGCCAUCCAUGGAAUGCUGACCACUUGAAGUACUAUUACAAAUAGACUCACACUGUACAAGUGUUAAGCUACAGCCGUUCGGCAUCCUAUGUAACAAAGACCAUUUGGUAUGAAUUCAAUAAAGAGGUGAUUUAGCCAACUCGGCCCUAAACUCUUUUACAUUCUGAACAAUGAAACACUCAAGUGUUGAAGCUUCAACGCAAAUGUUUCCAAUACAAAACAAAAUCUAAGUAUGUGUCAACAAGACUAUACAAAGGAUCUACAUCAUACAUUCCAACACAUUCAUACAUAAACAUCAUACAUUCCAACACAUUCAUACAUAAACAUCAUACAUUCCAAUACAUUCAUACAUAAACAUCAUACAUUCCAACACAUUCAUGCAUAAACAUCAUACAUUCCAACACAUCCAUACAUAAGCCAACUGUGCUUCGAAAGGGUUCAACACACUUUGUGUCAUUCGACAUUUGCCACAAUAUGCCUCGACACCUUGCCGUUAUUCUCACCAACUAGGUGAUGAAGGAACUCACCUUCGUACCACCAACUAGGUGAUGAAAUGUACAACCCGUACUCUAAUAUUAUUUGGAAACCUGCCACCCUUAUCACCAAUCAGGUGAAGAAGGAACUCAUCUUCAUGCCACCAACCAGGUGAUGAAAUGUACAACGCGUACUCUCCUUCAUGUCACAAACCAGGUAAUGAAAUGUGAUGAAAGGUGAUUAAGGAAUUCACAUUCGUACCACCAACCAAGUGAUGAAAGCAACCCACCCUUCAUUCCACUAACCAGAAGACGAGUGGUACAACUUGUACAUGUGAACUCCUAGCAUUCACAAAUAAUCAAAAACCAUCAAGUUUUACAACUCAACUAGGGGAGCACUUAUGCCUAACAAGAGCUAUAGUCACCAACAAAGUCUUAUUGCAAGCCAACAAUGGCUUCAGUGCAUGGUAUACGAAGAUCAAGCUCUUCAGCCCUCUUGCAUCUGCUUCAGACAUUUCUCCUCUGUAACAAUGCAAACACUAAAACUCAUAAAAAGCUUCACACGCUCUUGAUCAAGACUGUUCGAAGCAAAUUCAAUUUAUAUGGUUCAUCCAAACCUUCGACUACUACAAGAUGUGGCUUGAAUCACAAUCUCUCGCUCAACAGUAUGGAAGCAAAAUUUGUAUAUGUUGUCUCUCCCACAUUUUCAAAUUUCUAGUUUUCCCAAAAAAAAAAAAAAAAAAAAAAAAAAAAAAAAAAAAAAGAGGAAAUUGGAAAUUGGGAAAUUCAACAAAGCUUCAUCAAUGGAACACAACUACAAUCUCAAAAGCUUUGCACUAUCUUCAUCAAGAUAGUGUGAAGCAAAAUCAAUUUAUGGUGCCAACAGAAGCUUCAUCAAUGGAGGACAAAUAUCAAUCUCAAAAGCUUUGCACUAUCUUCAUCAAGAUAGUGUGAAGCAAAAUCAAUUUAUGGUGCCAACAAAAGCUUAAUCAAUGGAGGACAAAUAUCAAUCUCAAAAGCUUCGCACUAUCUUGAUGAAGAUAGUGUGAAGCAAGAUCAAUUUAUGGUGCCAACAAAAGCUUAAUCAAUGGAGGACAAAUAUCAAUCUCCAAAGCUUCGCACUAUCUUCAUCAAGAUAGUGUGAAGCAAAAUUAAUUUAUGGUGCCAACAAAAGCUUUACCUAUAAAGCUUCAACCCCAAAGCUUCACCUAUAAAGCUUCACCUAUAAAGCUUCAACACCAAAGCUUCACCUAUAAAGCUUUCAACACCAAAGCUUCACCUAUAAAGCUUCAACACCAAAGCUUCACCUAUCAAGCUUCAACCCCAAAGCUUCACCUACAAUACAAAAUUUCAACACCAAAACAUAUAAAAGCUUCACACACUCUUCAUCAAGAUAGUGUGAAACAAAAUCAAUUCAUGGUGCCCAACAAAGCUUUUCGGAAAUUCGAAAAUUCAAAAAUCCGGAAAUUUGAAAAUUCAAAAAAAAAAAAAUCAAAAAAAAAAAAAUUACCUAGGCCUCAUCUUCUUUGGGCCUAACAACUUUCAUAACAAAUAUAUAUGAAGAAGGAGUUUUGGGCUACCACUUCGAAAGGAAAUGCCUCAUUCGUCAACUCCUUCGACCAGAGACUUGGGGGACUCCUACCAUAUGCUACUGCACAUUGAUACUCAGAAGUCUCACGACCACUCAGUGACUUGGAUUUUUCAAGUCUCCAAACGAGAAGUUUUCCUCACUCGGGAAAUUAAGGGAGCACUACCUCAACCUACAUGCUUCACUCACAAAGUUUCAACAUACAAGCUUCAACAAAAGGAAAAAUUCAAAGAACUUAGUGAAGAAGGCCUUGGUGUAUUUAACACAAUACGUUGAAAUGAAGCAAAUCUUGUUUAUUGAUAUUUUCGAUAAGUUACAAAUAUGUACAUAUACAUGAAUCAAAAUAAACAAACAAGAGGGAGCCUUCACAAAGGUUGCUCAGAGGAAGCACAGGAGGGUGGUUAUCCGGAGCCUCAGUACUGGACAGAACCCCAGAAGGAGGAGGCAUCGGAGGUUGAUCAUUUGGAGCUUCAUUACACAGUACAGCCUCAGAAGACGACGGCAAUAAAUGCCUUUGGAACAAACCCACAAACCGCUGAUGAUCAAAUAAAACCUGACCAUCAGAUUCCUUCAUCUGGUCAAGCUUCCUCUUCAUGUUUGUAGCAUAGUCAUGUGCAAGCCGGUGCAACUGUUUAUUCUCAUGCUUGAGCCCUCUAAUCUCCUGUUUGAGACUCAUCACUUCAGCAGCCAAUGAUUCAACUUGGCGGGUUCUAGCAAAUAGGCGUUGGGCCAUAUUAGACACAGAACCUGCACACUGAACACUAAGAGCCAGAGAAUCCUUAACAGCCAACUCAUCAGACCAUUUGGAAAAUAGUCUGUUAUCUUUGGGAGUGAAAAGGUUCCUGGCCACCACCGCAGCGGUCAUAUCAUUAUUCAUCACAGAAUCCCCAACGGUAAGAGGACCAGUAGAGGAUAUGAAGGAUGGGCGCCAUAUGUUGUCUGGAGAAGGCGUGGCUGUCUCUUCUCCAAGGUUCAAGUCAAAACGACGGUCAGAGGGGCCAGACAUUUUCAAAGGUGUUGAAGAGGGAAGAGGUUAGACAAAUCAAGAUCUUAGAAGUGCAAGAAGGGAGCUUCUACUGGUGGAGAUUCAAGUGUGCUGUGGAACUUAAUGCCAACCUCUAUAAAAAUCUGCACUUGACAGAGCUUCAGAAAUCGAAGAGACGUUUGCUUUCUCGAAAGCUGAGUUGCUUAGAGACCACGAGGGCCGAUCUUAGAAAUCGACGAAGCACCUGCUUUUUCAGCCUCGUCAGCACCUGUCACAUGCACACUCAGCUUUGUGGAAAUUACGGGCAAUCUGUCGAAGAUUUCUGGUGAAGUAGAAAGCACGUGAAUCUUACUGUUCAAUCACCACUCUCCACACGCACCAUCAACUCCUCGGGUACCAUAUAACUUUGCCAAAGAUCUCUGACAAAGUUUAGGCACGAGAAUUUCGAAGUUCCAGCUACCCUACUAUUACCCACAAGGGUAAAGGAACAGCACCACUGCUUGACAACUGGAAAGUCCCUAUGUGUGUCGACCUCCGUGUUCUGUGGAAAGACAGGCUGGCAAGAACUUCCAACCUUUACUCACCUUCGAGAAAAGACUCCCAACAUAAUUACUUUCUCAAAAACUGAAGUUGCACCGCUUUUCGAAUCUCGAGAGCUAGAUCCCCGACGGGAUUGCUUGUUCGAAAACUGAAGAGGCACAGCUCUCAGAACUUGGAGAGCCAGAUUUCCUUAGAUAAAGCUUGUCUGUAAUCUUCACACGCAACAUCAGCUUUCCAGAUACCACAUACCAAUUUUUCAAAAUGCUCUGACAAAGUUAAAACACGUGAAGCUGGCAGCUCCCACUACAUUGCUGUGACCAAGAAGGGUAAAGGAAUAGCAUUACUACUAGUUAUUGGGAAAUCCCUAUAUACAUCGACCUCCCUCCUCAACGGACAGGCAAACCUGCAAAAAUGCUCAACUCUUUCUCACAUUCGAGAAUGCACCCUCAACAUAACCUCUCGAAAUACUCAGCUUUAUUUCCCCCUGAUAAUACCUCAGCAAAAAAGCCACACCAAGAACAAGAGUAUCUCAUAUCAUCAGGGUCGAAAGCAAGAGUAUCCCAUAUCAUGCUUUCUCCCUGUCCUUGUCUUCGUCCUUGUCCACACCUGCAGGACAAAGAGAAAGAGAGCAGUCAGUCGGAACCUGAAAUCAAACCUCCAAUCUGGAACUGACUGCCUGAGACCUUUGCCUGGUUGCUUACUUAGCAUUGCUCUCGAGAACUCAUCCUCAACUGCUGUCAAGGUCAUGAAUUCCACCGGCACAUACCUCAUGACAGUUGAUCAGAUAUUGGCUCUUUACACGGAAGCUGCCAAGCGUGGAUGAGUCACUAUGAAGGAAUGUUCUGAAGGACCAUUUAAAUGCAAAGGUUGCGCACCACUUCUGCCAUGCAAAAGAUUGAAGCAGAAGGUUCAACGGUGAGUUGAAACAGAUCACUACAGCACGACACUUUUCCAUACCACAUUCACUAUUCCGUCAACAGCAAAAGUAUCCCAUAUCAUCAAGGUCGAACGUACUCUAGAUUUGAUGGACUUUUUUUGACCCUCAAAUUCUUGAGUCGGCCUUAUACUCUGAAGGGAACCAUUAAACCCUCCAGCACAGUUCAAGAAUAUACCUGUGGAAAGUUACUUCUUCAAAAGCAAAAGUAUCUCAUAUCAUCUCUUCUCCAUUUGCUUCUCCUUAUCCCGGCAGCUGAAUGAGAGACAAGAAGAAAGAGAACAAUCAACCGAAAGCCGAAGUCGAACCUUCGAUCCUGGGUUGCUUGCUUGGAAGUUUGACUGCUUACCUUGUCUGUCACCUCUUUCGGCAGAUCUCCUAGCUCGGCGACUUGGGGGACUCCUACUAUAGGGUUUGUAUCGCACUUGACCAAGCCCGAAACUACAAGUAAGCUUCAAGUGAAAUUGAUACAUUACCUUGUGCAUCUUCAUCGGUUAAAGAUACCACCCAUGGAUGAAGGAAAAGUACUUCCAAAGAAGAUGCCACAUCUACAUAUGAGACAGAUAAGGCACAUGAAAAUGAUACCACACUUUGGUACUUAGAAGUUUCGUGAUUACUCAGUGGCUUGGAUCUUGCAAGUCCCCAACCGAGGAGCUUCCCUCACUCAGGAACUUAGAGGAGCACUGUUUGUACCAUACUUGACCAAUCCCGAAACUACUGAGCACCGGUCAACGUUAUACCGUCAAAGACCCAGAAGAGCUUCCCUUCAACCAGGAGGCCAAUUACAAUGCAACACAUGUUAACAUCAGAAGCCAAUCACGGCGCGACACGUGUCAACAUCAGAAGCCAAUCACAACACGACACGUGUCAAUGUUAGAACAAAACUAGAAACUUUCUUCUAUAAAUAGGGAUCAUUCUCCCAUAAUAAUCUCUAAUGUCAUUUUGUACUAAACUAUUCACUAGAACUCACAAAAUGAGAGCUUGAACCUAUGUAUUUGUGUAAACCCUUCACAAUUAAUGAGAACUCCUCUACUCCGUGGACGUAGCCGAUCUGGGUGAACCACGUACAUCUUGUGUUUGCUUCCCUGUCCCUAUUCAUUUACGUACUUAUCUUCGCUAGUGAUCGAAGCAACCAAGCGAAGGUCACAAACCUGACACUUUCUAUUGUACCAAAGUCCUCGCUGAUUUUGUGCAUCAACAUAUGUCAUUUUGAGCUCUCGGGCCAAAAAAGGCAUGCCAAAUCCAUGUAUCAAAAGAUGCAACCACCUCCAAAAUGAUACUUUUGCUCCUUUUCUGUCCCCAUAAGCGCCUUACCAUGAACGUGGAUAGUUUCUCCAGGUCCAGUGCAUACAGUCGAUGCUUCCAAUCAUCCCGGGAAAACCUUGCAUCUCGCCCUUCUUCAGAAGCUUUAGCAAGUCCAUCUCAGUAGGUUUCUAGAGGUAUUCUACAGUGUAGAUAGAUUCGAUUGCUCUACAAAACCUCAUCAGGGACUCAAGAAUGGGUGAUUUCCCCAUCCUCGCUAUCUCAUCCACUUGGUCUGCAGAUGCUCCAUAUGCAAGCAUCCGCAAGGCAACAAUAAUUUUUUGCUCAUAAAGGAGACCCAUAACACCAAAAGCAUCAUUCUUUUACACAAAGUAGGAAUCAUGGUUGCAAAUAGCAAUCAUGAUUCUAUUGAACAAAUGUCGUUCUAAAACGACGUCUAAAGUACAUAUUAGGGAAUGCACUGUUACGGACAAAAUAAUCGUCCAAGAGAUCUGUACCUCAUCGUUGCAUGCUUCUAUCAAGGUUUGCGGAACGGCUGGGCCUGCAGAUUUGAGCCACAACUUGGAUGACUUGACGGGAAUGUAAGGCUUUGGCCAUUCUUGCUUGGUCAUCUCUCCUUCUAUGCUCCUCAUCCUCUUUCAUCUCAUUUUGGGCCACCUGGAGAUUGAACAUUCCUUCUGAUUGGUUAAACAAUUCUUUCUCCUGCUGAUUGAUUUCCCGCAUCAUCCUUGAAGAAUAAGACAUUGUAAGAAAGAAGUAGAAACUAUAAAUAAUGAUACAGAUUUUGAUUUUGGUGAAGAAUGAAGCAGAAACUAUGAAUAAUGAUUGAGAUCUUGAAAAAAUUGGUUUGAGAUUUCUGAAGAUGGAUGGUGGAUUAUAUGGAGGAUUCAGAAAGGAUUAGGCUGUAGAUAAUGUCACGUGGCAUGCUGUCAUUUUAUUAAAAUUCUAAUUGAAAUAAACAGAUUGUGACACAUAGCGCGACGUGAUUGGUUAAAAAUCUUAUCGAAAAUCUAUCCUCAACGAUUCUGAAAAGGUAAUGACAUGUGGCAUGACAGCAUUGGAUAAAAUUGUAUCGAAAUCCAUCACCAAUAAUUGUCUUUUCGGUUAAUGACACAUGGCGUAACGAGAACGAUUAAAAAUCUUAUCCGAAAUUACAAAUAAAAUUAUUUUGUAUUAUUUUAUAAAUAAAUAAAUACUAAUAUUGUAUUGCCUAUUGCCAGGGUUAUUCAGUGUAAGGGUGGAGAUGCAAAAGACAAUUAUUAUUCAUUAAAGGCAAUUAUUGUUCACUAGGUGGAUUAAAUAGUGAAUAGCCCUAGGGCAUUUUGCAACAGUAGAGUUGCUCUUAUGAGGAAGACAUAGCCACCUACACAAUAAAAGCAGUAAUAGAUCUAAAGGCAGACAAUCAUGUCCUCACUUGUAAACCAUAAGGAAACAUUAUAUCUCAGCUGGAUUUGAUUUCUUGUUGGGAGAAGAAGACAUGACGGAUUCUAAGAAGGAUUCAAUAAAUCCUAAAUCACUUUGAGAGUAAGAAUAUUCAUAAUCUACGUACAACUGCAUAUACGAAAGUAAAGAUUACAGAUUCAUGCAUUACCUUUUCUUCAUGGAUACACAGAUAAUGUUUCUUGCACAUUUUCUUCGUUAUGUGAGAAGAAAUCAAACUUAGCCCUAUCAUAAUCCUAAUUCCUAAGUCACUACCGCACCCUCCCUCACCACUUCAAUUAGCCACAAUGAUUUCUUUUAUUUCUAGAAAAAAAAGACCAGCUGAUGGUUUCGCCACAACAGUCCACCUUCUGGGGGCCAAGAGUUAGCCACAAUGACUUAAUGACCAUCUAAUUCAAUUUGAUAAUCAAACAAUUCUUACUGUAAUAAUAAAAAUAAUGCCAUUAACUAGUUGUUUGAUUUUGUGAAUCAAAUGGAUGGUGAUGACCUCAUUUAUAAUGAUUUUUUAAAACCAUUUUGCUUCAAUUUCUUGUAGCCCUUCCUCCCCCAGACAAUGUAUGAGCAGCAAUCAUUUACAGCAUAUUCAUCAAAGGUCAAAUAAGAAUUGAACUCACAGCAAACGAUCUAGAGGCCUCAAAAUUAUAUCCUGAUUAUAGCUCCACUUCCAUUGAUAACUUCCUUGAUAUUUGCUUGGCUGGUCCUCCCAAGCCAAGAUUAGCAUCAUUGUAACUAGUUUCCUUGAUAUUUGCAUGUUUAAAGUACUAUUGUAAUUUGUGUUUCAUUAUUACAUUUUUGUGAUAUGCUAAAAUAUAAUAUAAUAAUAAUAAUAAUAAUAUAAGAAUAGCCUGCUAUGAUCUCAUGAUAAACUUUAUAGGUCCAUGCAGGUUUUAUCACAAAAGAUCUGGGUGAUAUUGGAGGUGGUAACUCCUAUGUAUUAGUUGUAUAUCAUUUUGUCAUAGGAUUGAUGUGAGAUUCUAUUUUCCAACAAUACAGUCCAGAGAAGUGAUUCCCUCACACUCAUUUUCUCCUUAUGCCACUCGUGCUUAUUUUUAUACCUUGAUUCUCCGUUUAUUUUAUUCAAUCCAACAACCAGAAAUAAACAGAGUUGUACACAUAAAGAAAAAGAGUAAAUAAUAAUCACUUCCCCAUCAUUAUGUUCAUUUUCUCUCAGUUUGGCAGCUAGUGGUCAAUUUUUCUCAGUUUUGCUCCAUAAUAAAAUUUUGAGGUGCCUAUAAUAACAAUCUUCACGAAUCGCUCAUACACUGCCUAUGCACUUUCAUGCCAAAUAACAUGCCUACUGGUCCACAUGAUAUAAGAACUCCAUCAAUUUGAACUAUGUCCAUUGCUUUAAAAUUAAGAUGAUUGCAUCCCAUUUGUUCCUCACCCAAUAAAAAAUAUUUCAAAAUAUCUGAUAUCUUUAAGUAAGGUAUUUUCAACAAAAAUCCAAAGAUAAUUAUCAUGAUUAACACACAACAAAACUUAAACCCACAGAUUUUGCACCUAAGAUCCUCUCUCAUCCAACGGCUUAAAAUUCAUGAGUCGAGCAUGCAAAAAAUGUGUACAAGCACAAAGUAUAUAAGGAAAUACCCAAAAAUAUGGCAAUUUCUUAAUCUUGGUAUAGACAUAGGACAUUUCGAAUAUGCACACGCCAUGUACAACAAUCGGACAUAAAUAGGAUUUUUCCUACACCUUGAAAUGACCAAAUUGUCCUCCCAUGUAAAUGAGUUAUCCAGAAAUUUCAAUUCUCAUUUCUCAUUUGUAGAGAGAGAAACAAAGAGGCCAAGUGCUCUAUCUCUAACCCACCCAUCUUCUUCAUCCAAGCUCUCUCUUUCUCUAUCCCCUCUCUCUACAUUUUCAUUUGUAGGUUUUGUGAACCAGGUUUGCUUAAUUUUGCCUUUUGAUUAAUGGAUUUUUGGAGUUGAAGUGAUUGAUUUGGAUUUUUGGAGACCCAAAUCCUUGAUUUUUUAUUUUUUAUUUUUUUAUUGUUUCUCUUAUUUAUAUGUGGAUUUUCAUUUCUUCUGUCUUCUCAUUCCCUCUACUCCCUCUCUCGAUCCAAAUUUACAACUACAAGACAAUAGUUCAUCUACAACGACAAUUCCAUCACAAUCUUUAUGAGCCUAUUGUAAAAAAUACAAAUUUACCACGGACAUGAUAAGCACGUGUUUAAUAAUAAUUUUUUACCAUGUGCAAAUCUUAACCCGUUAUAAAAUUGCAGUUAAUGAUCAUGCACAAAGUUGCACAUUGUAAAAAUAAUAAGCCACCAUAGGCAAUGCUCGUGGUCAAUAUUGAUAGUAUCCACAACGUCUUUUUAUUACAACGGGGAUAAUGUGUUGUAUAAUUAUAUAUAUUUUAUUAAAAAAUCAGGAGGCGGGAGACCAAAAUUUUAAAUUUUAAAUUCGAAAUUUUUUUAUUGAAGCCCCUUAAUUGGUAAGAAUUUCAAUUUAGGUUUGAUUCUAUGCUUCAUGAUUUAGGUUUUACAAUUUAUUCUCUUAAUUUUCUAUGUGAAGUAUUGGUUGAUACUUGAUAGUGCUUUUCUCCCGUUAAGCCUCUCGAAUUCAGUUGGUGCAGAUACCAAAUUGGAACGAUGGGUAGAAUUUUGUUCGCAUAAAUGUUCUUCCUUCAGUCCUUUUAUUUUAUUUUAUUUAAUUAACUUGGCUUCCUUAAAUAUUUUGUGUUGUUCAAUUUCAAUGUGAUAGUUGAUCCUCGGGUUCAGCAUUUGAUACAUGUCGAUCCUCUACCUGUCUUAGUAGUUUAAUAUAUCCUUGGCACAAUUGGCACUUGGACAUUUUGUUAUCACUUAGAUGAUGGAUUGCUUGCCUUUUGGGAAUUGACUUUAGGGAAUUUUAACAAAAAGCUCAUGGUACUGUUCAUUUGGAUUAAAUUUUUUCAUGUAUCAUGUCCUUGAGUUGAGACAUGAGUUUUGCUUUGUAACAUAUAUAUUUUUUCUUGUUUUAUCUCAUAAGUGGUUGGUGGUUCUAAUUUACGAGGGUCCAUAACUCUAAUGUCAACUAUUAUAUUUAUCGGCAACUGCGAAUUUGAACUUUGAAGUGUGUGCAUAGGCGAGCAAUUGCACAUUUGAAAGGAUUUUGUUUCGAGGUGUUCAAGGAAAACUAAAGUCUUCUAAGUAACAAUUUCCUUGUAAAUUUCAUAUUUCUUAGGUUAGCUUGUAGGUUUUUGUUGACCCUAAAAACUACCAAGACUACGUGACGUGCAGGCCGAGUAACUAAUGAGCUAACAACAUCCUUCGGUUGCGUGCGGGGUGUGCCAACUCGUCAGCCGAGCUCGGUCGGUGGGUAAAAUUUGUUGAUGUUGCGUUGGGUGCGCUGCUGACUUCUUGAUUUUGCGACUGCGGCCGAGGAAGGAACAUGUCUUGGCCUUCGGGUUCUAGAGCCUGAAGACAAGGCUGCUAGAUCUGCGAAGUUCAAUAUCAAAUUCAACUCUCAGGGUACCGAAUCUAGAAACCUGGUAACACCUCACUUUACCGAGAAGGCUGAUGAGAUGACCUCUGCCAAUAAGGAUUUGAAAAUCCUUCUCGAUUGAGACUUGGAUAGAUAACUAGUUGGCCUCGUCGCAAUGUUGUUUAUCCAAACUGAAGGUGCUUCACGGUCGGCUGAUUCUAUGGCAACAGUGUUGUUUAUCCAAACUGAAGGUGUUCGUCGGUUACCUUCACAGUAUUGUUUAUACAAACUGAAGAUGUGUUGGCGAAAAAGAAAAUAAAAAUCUCAAGGUUGUUGAGAGGUUUCGCGUAGAGCGAAAGUUUGAGCAUGGUAAUUUGUGUGUUGAGUUGGAGAGGCUUUUUCCGUUGCCACUGCAUCUAUAUUUAUAGGGACAAGUACGCGGUUGAUAAACUUUGAAGUUCCACCACACUACUAAAAUUCUUUCACUGUUCAAACCUUGGUCAAAUCCUAAUCUCGUUAGUGUAAUCCGCAUGCAUCUUUAUCAUGUGCCCAUCACUGUUUAAACAAUAUUUCAUGAUGAGGCCAUGUGCUUGAUGAGAUGUGUUUCUAUCUCAAAUGGGACUCUAGAUUGAUAACAAUGAGCCAUGUGGGCUUGUCUUUGCUUCACAUGUUGCAUGCAUGCCUAUCUUCAUGAAAUCUUCAUUAAUUCACAUGGAAAUUUAUAUUGAUAAGAUGUGUUUCUUCCAUAUGAUGCCAUUUGACAAGACUCUUAGCAGGAUGCCAAGGAUAUUCGGUCCCACCAUAACCUUUAUUCAUGCAUGCAAGCCAACAUUCUGCCACAUCACAUCACCAUUUCCUUAUCCCAUACGUAGGCUAAAGCCUAUCAUGACCAUCACAUCCCAGCCAUGCCAUGUGAUAAGAGUCCCAACUCGAACUAUGUUGUUUACUUCUAGAUCGCAGAUAUAGUUUGCAUCCCAUUUAUCUUGGAUAGGAAAACGUUAAGAUAAUUCUUUAUUAAAAGAUAAUUAUUAUGAUAAAUCAAUAAUAAUAUCCUUUACCAAUAACAAAAUUAUCUUCACUUUCUCAUUCCAUGGUCUAAAAUUCUACUCAUUCAACGGUUUAAAAUUCUGCCCAUUCAAUGGCCUCGAUUACUCUAGCCGAUAGUGUAAAAUCGGGUGCAAACAUUGCCCUCCAGUUUCAUUAAGCUUUGGCUCAUAAGCUGAAUGGUCAAGGAAAUUAUUCGUCAACGCAUAUCAAAAUUUGUUGAUAUGCUUUAAUGAUCCGGUCAAGGAGUUUGUUAUACCUUUCGGCCGGUGAGUAAAAUUUGUUGAUGUUACAUUGGGUGUGCUGCUAACUUCUUGAUCUUGCAAUUGCAGCCGAAGAAGGAACACGUCUCGGCCUUCGGAUUCUAGAGCCUAAAGACAAGGCUACUAGUUCUGCGAAGUUCAAUAUCAAAUUUGGCUCUCAAGGUGUCAAAUAUAGUAACCUGGUAACACCUCACUUCACGUAGAAGGCUGAUGAGAUGACCUCUGAAAAUAAGGAUUUGAAAAUCCAUCUCGACCGAGACUUGGAUAGAUAACCAGUCGGCCUCAUUGCAGUGUUGUUUAUCCAAACUGAAGGUGUUUCGCGGUGGGCUGAUUCUACGGACAACAGUGUUGUUUAUCCAAACUGAAUCCAAACUGAAGGUGUUUCGCGGUCGGCUGAUUCUACGGACAACAGUGUUGUUUAUCCAAACUGAAGGUGUUCGCCGGUUGCCUUCACAGUGCUGUUUAUCCAAACUGAAAAUGUGUUGGUGAAAAAGAAAAUAAAAAUCUCAAGAUUGUUGAGAGGUUUCGCGUAGAGCGAGAGUUUGCGCAGGGCAGUUUGUAUGUUGAGUUAGAAAGGCUUUUUCCAUUGCCACUGCCUCUAUAUUUAUAGGGACGAGUACGCGGUUGAUUAACUUUGAAGUUCCACCACGCUACUAAAACUCUUUCACUAUUCAAACCUUAGUCAAAUCAUAAUCUCUUUAGUGUAAUCCGCAUGCAUCUUUAUCAUGUGCCCAUCACUAUUUAAACAAUAUUUCAUGAUGAGGCCAUGUGCUUGAUGAGAUGUGUUUCUAUCUCAAAUGGGACUCUAGGCGGAUAACAAGGAGCCACGUAGGCUUGUCUCUAUUUCAUAUAUUGCAUGCAUGCCUAUCUUCAUGCAAUCUUCAUUAAUUCACAUGGAAAUUUAUAUUGAUGAGAUGUGUUUCUUCCAUGUGAUGCCAUUUGACAAGACUCUUAGCAGGAUGCCAAGGAUAUUCGGUCCCACCAUAACCUUUAUUCAUACAUGCAAGCCAACAUUCUACCACAUCACAUCACCAUUUCCUUAUCCCAGCCAUGCCAUGUGAUAAGAGUCCCAACUCAAACUGUGUUGUUUACUUCCAGAUCGCAGAUAUAGUUUGCAUCCCAUUUAUCUUGGAUAGGAAAAUGUUAAGAUAAUUCCUUAUUAAAAGAUAAUUAUUAUGAUAAAUCAAUAAUAAUAUCCUUUAACAAUAACAAAAUUAUCUUCACUUUCUCAUUCAACGGUCUAAAAUUCUGCUCAUUCAACGGCCUCGAUUACUCGGGCCAAUAGUGUAAAAUCGGGCGCAAACAAUUGUAUAUGUGACUUUUGUUGUAAUUUAGUGUAAUGCUUGUACAUAAUUCUAUUUGAAUAUGUGACUAUUUAAAAAGUUAUUGUAUUAUAGUUAAUUAGCAAUUUUUUGGGUAUUUCUAAUAUUAUUUUUAAUUAAAAUGUUUUUUAUUUUUUUAUUUUUAGAAAAUUUUUUACAAUGGGCAUUGGCCUUGGACAAUUAAUGAUUCACAACGGUUUUAGCAUGUGGUGUUAGGUUACAAUUUACCACGAGUCAUGUCUGUGAUUAUUUGCUUAUUGACAUCGUACUUUGCCCGUGGUAAAAACCCGAACUUUUUAUCACAUCCAAAAUAUUAACAGGCAAAGUGUCCGUGGUGGAUUUCGAUCUACAAUAGGCAUCCAUUAUGGUUGAUGACCUUUUUUCUCCUAGUAUAAAGGUCAUUUGCUUUUUGGAGAAGAGAUAAAUUGGAGGGAAAAGAGAGAAAUCAGAGUGGAAAUAAGGAAGAGAGAAGGAUAUGGAUGAAAUUGUUUCGCGUACUCGUUCGUUCUGUUCGUAUUAAGCUUGCUCAUACACUGUAUGUACACGACAUGCACAUGUUAUGCUCACAAAUCUGAGCUCAAACCCAUAGCUCAGAACUCUCUUUUCGAAAUCAGAAAAAUGAUGCAUUCAGAUAAAUGACCUAAACUUUAUAUGAAGAAUCGAAAAUUCAUUCAUUUGAAUUUGGUAUCAAAUUUGAUUGAGUUCAAAUAUUUCAAGGAUUUAAAAAUUGCAGUUUGAAUGGGCACAAAAAAACCCAAUUGAAUCAAAGAAAAUUGUUUCACGAACUCGUCGCCUACCUAUAAAUCAAAGGAAAAAGUAGUAAACUACAUUAAAGAGAAGAGUAUCAAAGAUGUAAAUACGCAUCAUAUACAUUAUAUGUGCACCACAUGCACAUAACAUGUCCAGUACAUGCACAUGAUAUGCACAUAACGAGAGACACUUUAACGGCAACAUAUUGGUAUAGUGGAUACAAUUAAAAUAUAAUUGUUACGUAUAUAUGGUUACAAUGACAAUUUGAAAAGUCUUGUUACGUAUAUCAACCACUGCUUAAUCAGGCACAUGGAAAACAUGAUACUCGUUGUCGUUAUUUCAUGGACAUGCAUGACCAUUAACGUCCUCUAAGCUUUUUUUAAUUUUGUUUUUCGCCGAGGCCAACUAGGUUGUUGUCAUACUUGCCAAAUUCCGGGGCACAACAUACGUGCAUCAUAACUAGUGAACAUUCCUGCUUCUCAUAUUAAGAUGUAGCCAUGCACACCAUAUGCACAUGACAGAAAAAUUUUCACAAAUUUCUGCAAUUGGACACUUGAACCUGAAAUUGUUCCAUCCCAGUUUUGUAGCAUGUCAAAACUUGAAAUUUAUUCCACAACCAAUACGCCCCAACAUGAAACACAAACCCUAAUUUAACUUAUAAGUAUUAAUUCAUCUUACAAACAACCCAUUUAUUUCAUGAAUCAUUGAUGAAGGAACUUGGAACUAAACAUUGUACCUUACUAUGCAUGUCGAAGCUUUAGUUGCCGGAAAAAAUGAAACUUUCUGGCCAAAACAGAAAAUAUGGUACAAAAUCCAGCUCACUCUUCUCACCUCUCUCUCACAUCCCUUUAUUCGAUAUUAGAGUUAUGAGGUCAACCCAAAACCCAACUCAUUCCCUCUCUUCGAAAUUGGAGCUCAGAGAUCUGAGCUCAACCCAGAAACCCAGAGCUCACAAAGCUCUCUUGACAUCCCUCUCUUCUAAAUGUGAACAAUGAUGCAAUGUGUUGGUGAUUUUUAGUAUUUAUAUGCGAGUAUUUUAGUAAUUUUGGUUUUGUGCAUGGUGUGCAUGGCUUGUGAAUGAUUGGUUCGUCCUAUUUAUGUCCCAAGAUUAAUGAAUUGUCCCAUUUUGGGGUAUUUCCCAAGUAUAUAAUGGCAUAAGGAAAUAUAAAAAUACAUAGCUAUGUGUAUAACUAUUGACUUUGUAUCAAAAUUAUUAGAAACCUACAUUUGAGUGUCGUAACAAUGAUGUGAUACAAUUUUUUCCGAAUAUGAGAACACAGUCAUGGACUAUGUAAAUGAAUGUAUGAUAAUUUUUUUAAGCUUCUUUUUUAUAAUUCCAUGAUUGUAAAUCCUUGACUCCGCCACUGCAGCAGCAAAACUUAUUAUCUAGUACGAACUCGGACGAAUGCUAAGUUCCAUUAGAAAACUUCAGCUUAUAUUAUUUGAGUCUCAAGCAAAAAGUUGAGUGUCGAAUUGGAUAAUGUGGAAUUUGUGGCUAUAAAGAGUGGAACUUUUAAUUUAUGGCUGUACGCAGUGCAGCUUUUAUCUUUUGGUCUCUUGCCAAUAUUAACGUGAAACAUACAUUCUAGGGAGAAAAUCCUCAUGUGAAGUACGAAGUAUCAAAUAUUAAAUCCACAUUAUUACUGCCAACCCUAUUGCAUAAUUCACAGGUGUAAUAAUCUGGUCAGCAAUCGAAGUAUCAAAUAUUAAAUCCACAUUAUUACUGCCAACCCUAUUGCAUAAUUCACAGGUGUAAUAAUCUGGUCAGCAAUCGUGACAAUUCAUGUACCUAUUUCCAUCUUUGAGAUUUUCCAUGAUCCUCUCGAGUGCCAUUGGAUAUUCCGAGUUUUUGACCAUUAGAUCUGUGAUAAAAAAAACACUAAAACCAAAAUCCAACGGUUCAAAUGCUCAAAAUAUCAUGUAGUUUAGAGCACUGUGGAAUUUUUGUUCCAUCUUCAUCAUGCACUCAUUUUCCCUAUAUAAAACACAAUAGCCCUUACAAGUAUCAGCUGGGAAGAACAAUAUUAAUGAAGAAGGUUAUGGCUUGUGAGAACAAGAAGAUACUGAUAUUUGGAGCCACAGGGUACCUAGGCAAGUACAUGGUGAAAGCAAGCGUUUCAUUGGGCCAUCCAACCUAUGCUUACGCCCGAUCAAUCAAACCCAACACUCACCCUUCCAAGCUUGAGCUGCAUAAAGAAUAUGAAGCCAUGGGAGUCACCAUCUUCCAAGU